rnacentral:lncRNA from 1 species
AUUCCGUUAAUUUUAACAGUUUUUUUAAUGGUUGGGACCUAAUUGUAAUAAAAUAAAAAGAUUAGGGACUCAAUUGCAAAAGAAAAAAGGUUGGGGACUCAAGUAAAAAUUGAUGGAAGGGUUGGGGACUACCCGUGUAAUUAACCAUUUUUAAAUUUUAAUCUCGUUUUCAAUAACUCGGACUGAUAAAAACUGAUUCUGAUUAGAAUAUAUGAGGCAUACACGCUAGUAAUAAUAACUGGACUUAAGUAUUUUUGGCCGAUUGUUUAGGACCCAACGAGUUAUUAUUGCUGGUGGAUCGGGUCGUUGUAAUUAGUAUCAGAGUCGAAUACCAGCCGGAAGUGUGAGAGCUAAGGGGCUGUUUAGUUUCUCGUAAAGCUGCGGAAAAAAAAUUUUUGGUAGAAAAAAAAUUUUCGGAGGAAAAAAAAUUUUACGUUUAUCCAUUUGGUUUGUAGGAAAAGAAAAUUAGUUUUUUGUUACGGUUGUUUAGUUGAAAGGAAAAAAAAGAAAAAGAAAAAAAAUAAUUAUAAAUAAAAAAUUAUUAUGUAUGUAUUUUUUAUUUUUAUAUAUUAUAUAUUAUUAAUAUAUAAUAAUUAUUAUACUGCAUAUAUUAAUAUUAUAAUUNAAAUAAAAGUAUUUGAUAAAAAUUUAUCAUUCUGUUGGGCUCUCUCUCCUGGUAGCAAUUUUUUAAAAUUUUAAUCUCGCUUUCAAUGACUCGGACAGAUAAAAACUGAUUUUGAUUAGAAUAUAUGAAGCAUACACGAUAGUAAUAAUAACUGGACUUAAGUAUUUUUGGCCGAUGGUUUAGGACCCAACGAGUCAUUAUUGCUGGCGGAUCGGGUCGUUGUAAUUAGUUGCGGAAAAAAAAUUUUCGGUGGAAAAAAAAUUUUCGGAGGUAAAUAAAUUUUACGUUUUAGCGUUUUGUUUGUAGGAAAAGAAAAUUAGUUUUCUGUUACGGUUGUUUGGUUGAAAGGAAAAAAAAGAGAAAAAGAAAAAAAUUAAUUAUAAAUAAAAAAUUAUUAUAUAUAUAUUUUUUAUUUUUAUAUAUUAUAUAUUAUUAAUAUAUAAUAAUUAUUAUACUACAUAUAUUAAUAUUAUAAUUUAUAUUUGUAAAUAAAAUAUAUUUAAAAUAUAUUGUACAAUAAAUAUAAUAUAUAUAUAUAUAUAUAUAUAUAUUUAAUACUAUAAAAUAAAUUUAUAAAUAAAAUAUGUGUAGAGCUACUAUGCUAUCGGAAGCAUAAAGUAGUUGGUACUUCCGAUUUUUUAGCCCUUGGAUCAAAAAUUUUACGGUUGGGAUGAUAGCGGUCCCUCUAGGAUUGAGUGGUCCCAUUGGUUAAUAAUAUUAAUCCAAUAGUUAGAAAUGAUCAAUGGCCUUGAUCUAAGGGCUAAAAAAUCGAAAGCACCGACUACUUUAUGUUUCUGAUAGUAUAGUAGCUCUACCUAUAAAAUAUAUAUAUAUAUAUAUAUAUAUAAAGUGGUGGAGAGAGAGAGGUCAGGUCAUGGACCCCUCUUCACGCGGUCCACGAGGUGGAGCAGACCUCGUGGACCGCGCCUUUUCUUCUCCCGUGCGGCGUGCGCAACGCCUCGCGUUUUCGUUUUCCGCUCGAUUCAAGCGGAAAACAAAAACCCUCGUUUUUCUAAGAAUCUGUAAAAAAAAAUUUUCGAAAAUUUUUUUUUACAAGCCACCAAACACAGGAAUUUCACUUUUUAACCGAAAAAAAAUUUUCGGGGUGAUUUUACGAGGAACCAAACACACCCUAAGUGCUAUACGGGGCAAAGUGCUAUACCAACGGGUUUGGAGGGAGUCACCUCUAGAAUCUCAUAUCGCCUGAUAAUUCUAGUCUGCACCAAUGGAUUUGGUUAGAGUCACCUUUAAAAUCUUACAUCGCCUAAUAAUUCUGUUAUGCAUAACUGCAUCAGUGAUCUGGUUUCUAAUUAGAAUAUAUGAGAGCUAUACACUAAUAAUAAUAACUGGACCUAAGUAUUUUUGGCUCGGUGUUUUAUGAUCCGACGAGUUAUUAUUGCUGGCGGAUCGGGCCUAUAAUAUAAAUUUUCUAUCCAAGUGUCAAAACUUUAUUAGUGAUAUGAAACUAAAUUAAAAUUUAUAAAAUUCAAGAAUAAAACGUGUGUAACUAAAACUUUUAUGAUUUUUUUUUUUGGGAGAUAGGUAGUACACUAUUUUAUUUUAUUUAGAAAUAAACUUAGCUAGAAAUGUGAAUCAACUAGGAUUCGAACUUGAGUCUCGAAUACCAACCAUCAAGUCCUUUGUCACUCGCUCUAGGACGGUCGGUUCCAAAAACUUCUACGAUUUUGUCACUCUGCAAUUGUGAAGAAGGCAAAGUGACCUUGCCAUAGUGUUCUUUUAAUAGCACCAUUUAAUUUAGGAAUAAGACAAAAGUGUUGUUUACUAAAGUAGAUUUUAUUGUCAAUCAAUCACACCAAAUAAUAUUUUCAAAAUAAUUUUUGUAAUUUUAUUAGUCAAAAUUAAAGAUGUUUAAUUAAAUUAUUAUUAGAUGUAAACAUUAGAGUCCUAAUAAGGUGCUUCUAAGUUUUUCAUCAAUCAACCACCCUCUCAACUCCAAUGACCACUAUCAAUCUAAUCGUAUAUUAAUAUCGUUCCGAUUUCAGGUGAGAAAAAAGGGGCGAAUCAAACACGCUCCUAAUGCUUCUAAGUUUUUCGUCAACCAACCACUCUAACUCUAGAGAACCAUCGCCAUCCAAACAGUAUACCCAUUAAUCCAAAGGCCAAAAUUAAUCUCCAAAUUUUUAUGAAAAAGUAAUUUAAAUAAAAAAUGCGUUUGCCGGGAGUCGAACCCGGGUCUAUUGNUCUCUCUCUCUCUCUCUCUCUCUCUCUCUCUCUCUCUAUAUAUAUAUAUAUAUAUAUAUAGUGUAGAGCUACUAUGCUAUCGGAAGUAUAAAGUAAUUGGUGCUUCUGAUUUUUUAGCCCUUGGAUCAAAGAUUCUACGAUUGGGAUGAUAGCGAUCCCCUGGGUUGAGUGGUCCCCAUUGGUUAAUAAUAUUAAUCCAAUAGUUAGAAAUGAUCAAUGGGCUUGAUCUAAGGGCUAAAAAAUCGAAAGCAUCAACUACUUUAUGUUUCCGAUAGUAUAGUAGCUCUACCCAUAUAUAUAUAUAUAUAUAUAUAUAUAUAAAGUGGUGGAGAGAGAGGGGUCAUGGAUCUCUCCUCAUGCGGUCCAUGAGGUGGAGCGACCUCGUCUCACAUGGUCCAUGAAGUGGAACGGACCUCGUGGACUGCGCCUUUUCUUUUCCCGUGCGGCGUGCGCAACGCCGCGCAUUUUCGUUUUCCAUUCGAUUCAAGCGGAAAACGAAAACCCUCGCUUUCCUAAGAAUCUGUAAAAAAAUUUUCGAAAAGUUUUUUUUACGAGCUACCAAACACAGGAAUUUCACUUUUCAACCGAAAAAAAAUUUUCGGGGUGAUUUUACGAAGAACCAAACACACCCUAAGUGCUAUACGGGGCAAAGUGCUACACCAACGGGUUUGGUGGGAGUCACCUCUAGAAUCUCACAUCGCCUGGUAAUUCUAGUCUGCAGCAACGGAUUUGGUUAGAGUCACCUUUAGAAUCUCACAUCGCCUGAUAAUUCUGGCCUGCAUGACUGUAUUUGUGAUCUGGUUUCUAAUUAGAAUAUAUGAGAGCUAUACACUAAUAAUAAUAACUGGCUUAAGUAUUUUUGGCUCGGUGUUUUAUGAUCCGACGAGUUAUUAUUGCUGGCGGGUCGGGCCUAUAAUAUAAAUUUUCUAUCCACAAUGCGGAGUGUCAAAACUUUAUUAGUGGUAUGAAACUAAAUUAAAAUUUAUAAAAUUCAAGAAUAAAACGUGUGUAACUAAAACUUUUACGAUUUUUUUUUUUUUGAGAGAUAGGUAGCACGCUAUCCGAUUCGUUUAUUUUAUUUAAAAAUAAACUUAGCUAGAAAUAUGAAUCAACUAGGAUUCGAACUUGGGUUUCGAAUACCAACCAUCAAGCUCUUUGUCACUUGUUCUAUGGACGGUCGGUUCCAAAAACUUCUACGAUUUUGUCACUCUGCAAUUGUGAAGAAGGCAAAGUGAUCUUGUCAUAGUGUUCUUUUAAUAGCACCAUUUAAUUUAGGAAUAAGACAAAAGUGUUGUUUACUAAAGUAGAUUUUAUUGUCAAUCAAUCACACCAAAUAAUAUUUUCAAAAUAAUUUUUGCAAUUUUAUUAUACAAAAUUAAAGAUGUUUAAUUAAAUUAUUAUUAGAUAUAAACAUUAGAGUCCUAAUAAGAUGCUUUUAAGUUUUUCAUCAAUCAACCACACACUCAACUCCAAUUACCACUAUCAUUCUAAUUAUACAUUUUUUAAUCCAUUUUUAUUAUGGGUGAAAAAAUAUCGUUCCAAUUUCAGGUGAGAAAAAAGGGGCGAAUCAAACACGCUCCUAAUGCUUCUAAGUUUUUCGUCAACCAACCACUCUAAUUCUAGAGAACCAUCGCCAUCCAAACAGUAUACCCAUUAAUCCAAAGGCCAAAAUUAAUCUCCAAAUUUUUAUGAAAAAGUAAUUUAAAUAAAAAAUGCGUUUGCCGGGAGUCGAACCCGGGUCUAUUGCUUGGAAGGCAAUUAUCCUAACCGUUGGACUACAAACGCAGAACACGUUGUGCUUUUGCUUCUUAAACUACUAAACAAAUACAAUUUGCAUUACGGACCUCUCAAAAUUUCACAAAGAUCCCUGAAAACAUUUCCCAUUAGCAUUACAUACCCUUUCGAGGGGUGUAUAACUAUAUAUCAAUAUAUGCAUGCCAAUCUUGUUCAGCGAUGCACUCGUGCUGAUUUGGAUAAUGUUUACUUUGAAGGGAUAUUUUUGUAAAUAUACUGUCAGAAAUUACUACUGUGUCUAUCUUGUAAAAGAAAAUCCAUAUUUCGUGAAAUUUCCAAAGAUGUAGCAAGUUCCCUUUAGGAUUUUAAUAUUGAAAAAUAAUAACUGAUACAAUUAGUGAAAAAACAUUGAUACUCAGAUGGAUAAGCUGUAACAUUUUUAUUUUUAUUUUUAUUUUCUGUGCAAUUAAAAUGAAUCUUGUCUUUAUAUUCCUCACACAAAUGUGUGUUGUCUAUACUACCGCUCACACAACAUUAUUUACACAAGAAACCCUCUCUCACAAUGCUACUCCACUUCCUAACACAAGAACAUGUCGGUUCUCGCUGCAGUAGCUAAAUUUCUAUUUACGAAUCCAAUUGCUCCCUAUAACGCAUAUCAAUACACGACGCUACAUGCCAGAGCGCGAAAAGCAGUGUAAAAGCUAACCUACAAUACGCGAAAAGAUUCACGGUGGCGAAUCGCUUCGAUUUUGGAUGGUGCUCCUUAAAUCCACAUGGUGCAUGGACCCAUCUCCUUUGGACUCUCCCCCCAUACUUGUGCCUUAAAAGCAAGAGCACUUCUCUCAUGGUUUCAAUGUUAUUUUUCCUUGAAUGGCUUGCAUGGAGGAGGACAAAGGAUGUGAAUGGCCUCUUAUUCAUGACUAUGCAAUUUUUCUCCUAGUAGAGGCAAACACCUUUAUUAGAUGCCAUAAAUUCUUAGCCUUGGAUGGGUGGUUUGUGGGCCUUUGUUGUGUGGCCAAUGAAGAGCAAUGUGAUAAUAAGUGAGAUGGGUCAUUCACACUCACACUCACACUCACACUCACACUACUCCCACCCUAGUCCAUAGAUGGCCAGAAAGGAGAGAGGCACCAAAAUCAUGUCAAAAAGUUCAGUGAUGCCUAUGUGCACAAGAAAAUUUGUUGGGUAUUUAAUGUUUUAAGUUGAAGUACAUCAUAUAAGUCAAAGAGAAGGGCUUAUUGAGAAAGUACAUGUGGUGGAGGCUCUACCAUUGUUGUAUAUUUUAUUAAAUUAUAUAAAAUAGCUAAUUUUCUCCAUAAGUUUAUGCUGUCAAAAGACGUUGUUUCUCAUGUUUGGACUUGAGACAAUUUGAUAAGCUCAAAACAUAAAUUUAAUUUAAAUGGGAGAAAAUUAAAUGAGACUAGAGAUAUGAUAAAUUUAAAUUCAUGACUUCCUACUCUAAUAGUAUGUUAAGUUAUAUAUAUAAAAAAAAAAAAGUUUUCCUCUAGUAAGAUUAUAUGAUAUCCUAGUUGAUUCACAACUAGGGCAUAGUGGUUGAUACCCCAGAUCCCAAGUUCGAAUCCUAGUUAAUUCACAUUUCUAGCUAAAUUUAUUUAUGAAAAAAAAUAAACAGGUAACGUGCUACCUUUCUUUCUCAAAAGAGAAAAAGAAGAAGAAGAAGAAGAUUAUAUGAUAUGGGAGCCAACAAUAAACUUUUCUUCUUUCUGUAAGAUCGUGGAUUCAAUCCCAAUCUUUAAUAUUUGACCGGAAUGCAAUCCAAAUACUUAUGGCUUUAAUCUAUUCAAAAUGAGAUUUAUCACUUUGAUAGAGCAUUUAUUGUAUUGUUCGUCAUGAUCGUCCUUCAUCUAGCCAAUCUCAUAGGAUGGAGUAAAAGUGAACGAUCACAAGUGGACUUUUUUUUACGGCAGUGAUCCCUAUCUCAUGUCCUUUAAUAUUUGAUCGGAAUGCAAUCAAAUAGUUAUGGCUUUAAUCUAUUCAAAAUAAGAUUUACGACUUUGAUAGAGCAUUUACUAUAUUGUUCGUCAGCGUGUCCUUCAUCUGGGCCGAUCUCAUAGGACGAAGUAAAAAUGAAAAUCAUUACUAUUACUCUAGGGCAUGCGCGAGUGGACUUUUUUUUACGACAGUGAUCCUUAUCUCUUGUCCUUUAAUAUUUGAUCGGAAGGCAAUCAAAUAGUUAUGGCUUUAAUCUAUUCAAAAUAAGAUUUACGACUUUGAUAGAGCAUUUACUAUAUUGUCUGUCAGCGUGUCCUUCUUCUGGGCCGAUCUCAUGGGAUGGAGUAAAAGUGAAAAUCAUUACUAUUACUAUAAUAUACCGAAAUUUUGAGUUGUAAUGCUAACUUUGAUCUAGAAGAUCAAAGUGAAGCUUGAGCUGGAUGUGCGUUGUUCCCGAGUGUUUCUAGAGGUGUGGGAAUGAUUACUGGAGGUAUUUGAGUGUUUUGGCACAAAUCGGGCGCAAAACGAAAUCGAAAGAGAAUCUCCGGAUUACAAGGCUAACUUUGAUCAAACUGAUCAAAGUGAAGUAUGAAUGUGAUUUGAGUUGUCCCCGAACUAAUUUGGUGGUGUGGGGAUAGUUAAUGGUAGGUUUUAGAAGUGUUUAGAGGUGUUCGGCGCGAAGUGGGCGCAAGGAAUGGUCUCGAAACCCAGCUGCUGCCAAAGUGUAGGAAUUGCACUGGGUACCGGUACCAAAACAGGGGAGUACCGGUACCCAGACUCGUGGACUGAAUUGUAAAGGAAAAUUUCAGCUGUUGUGGGGGGUUUAGUUGCAAUUAUCUAAUCUUAUCUAUAACCCCUGAACCCUUACCUGCUUCAUACGUGUAGCAGCAGCCUCAUCUUUCCUUUCUUCUGAUCCCCUUCGCCUUCUUUCUCUCUAAAACAUAACGUGCGGGGAUUUGAAGGAGAAGUUGGUGGAUUUAGUGUUUUGAGCUGAGAAGAAUUUCAGCAACAAGGAGAAAACCUGGUGGAGAGUGAAUUCUGAGGUGAGGUUAUUAUAUUUCUGUGAUAGGAGUGAUGUUAUUCAUCUUAAAAGAGAUUUAGCUUUGGAUUUCUUGGAUUCUAGAGUUGGUUGCCAUGAAAUCCUAGAGAAGGAUUGUAUUAUGUGUAGUAAUAUGUGGACUCUUGGGUUGGUAUGAAAGCUGUUGGAAUAUAAACAUAGCUUGAGUUUGAUCUCUUAUGUUCCUAAAUUGUUUGGUUUUGAGGUUCUUAGAAUUGUUGAAGUUAAAUUACUCUAUAUGUUCUUAUAGAACCUGUGUAGAAAGAGGCUAUGUAGAGUUAAAGCUCGAAAAUGCAAUUUUGUAGGAUUGGAGAUCUAGCUUGAAAUUGAUCGCUUGAAAUCCUAAUUGAGGAUAAAACUAAUGCGUUGGGAAGCUCGGAUCGGCGUUCCGACGAGCCUACGGCAAGCUAGUGAGGAAAAAUUCCAUUUUAGCUUCGUUUGUCGCGAGCGAGGGAUGUGAUCGUUCAUAAAUAGGGGGAAGUGAUUUUCUCGCAUUUCGGCAUCAUUUAAAAGUGGGUGGUGCUUUCCAAAGUCAUCGAAUGACCUAUUAUAUUUAUGUCACUUUUCUUGAGCAUACAUGUAUAUGUUAGUUGAUAUUCAUGCAUUAUAGGGUUAAGCUUGAUAUGUGAUUAUAUGCAACAUGUGGUUUACUCGUAUGCUUUGGAAGCAAAAUACAUGUGAACAGUGGAUAGUAAACAUAGAACCCUAUAGUGAUAUGAAUAGGUAUGGACUAUUAAAUAGUCAACAAAGUGACAUUAUGAAUAGAUUGUAUGAAUGGCACCCGGUAUUAUGAAUGUCAACAAGGAAAAUGAACUUGUGACAUAGUAGCAUUAGCAUCUAGAUUGGAAAUGCUAAAUAUAGAGUUGUGGCAUUAUGACUAGAUGAACUAGUUAGCAUCUAGAAUUGGAAAUGUUAAAUCUAGCAUAAAGAGCUAGUUAAAAUAUGGCAUUGCCAUUGUAUCCUCUAAGCGAGAAUAGGAUCAUACUCACAAGUAGUCUAAUGCUCGGCGUAAUUAAAGGUCGCUCCUCCUUGGGCGUUGAGGUCCGGAGUUGUCAUCAACUGAGUUGGUAGCGGGUAUGCUCCCCAGUGGACGGUCCCGUCGGGUUGUAGCAGAAUUCUCCUCGACAAAAGGCAUUUGGUUGGUGAGUUGUAGUUAACCAAAGGGGUUAACUAAGUUAAUUCGGUAAUGGUAAUAUGAUAGCAUGCAUGCAUAAACUCCAUAAGUUAUAUAUAUUGUUCUCUUUAGCUUUGUAUAGGCAUUGUAGUAGAUAUAUGAUUAGUUGGUUACUAUCUGUUACCUUUUCUUGUCUAUAUAUGCCUGAGUAAACCUAGUAGAUGAGUCAACGAGGUCGGCAGCCGAAUCCACUGAAAACUUUCAGUAGUUCUCGCCCUACUAACCAUGCAGGUUUUAGCGUGUGCGGGGUGGUCGAGGAUCAUGACAGGAACAACGCUCAAUAGGUAGCGGACAUCCAUUGAGUAUAGAUAUAUACCUUGUAUAUUUCAUCUUAUAGUUGAUGAAAGAAAAGUAUAAUGUAUAAAACUAUUCAUUGAGAGAUGUCAGAUGUAAAUGUUAAAGAAUGUAUGUAUGUGAUAAUAAUGCAAGUUUUGUAUUUGAUUUAAAGUAAUCAAGAUACAAUGUAUGAAUGGUUUAGUUAGUUUACUUUCAUUUGCUUGUGUUGCUUACCCUCGUGCAAGCCAUGUAUACAGGAAUUUUUCCUGGGCAUUUCAUUUUACAUGUUUAGUGGUUGUGGAGACUUGGGCGAACAGAGGAGGUUCUGUUCGUUUGGCGUCUGUGUACGGGUCCGAACCGACCAAAUUGGCGGUCUCGGAGCGUGACAAUUACUCUAGGGCACGCGCAAGUGGACUUUUUUUUACGACAAUGACCCCUAUCUCUUGUCCUUAGUCUCGGGGCGUGACAAUUACUCUAGGGCACGCGCAAGUGGACUUUUUUUUACGACAAUGAUCCCUAUCUCUUGUCCUUUAAUAUUUGAUCGGAAUGCAAUCAAAUAGUUAUGGCUUUAUUCUAUUCAAAAUGAGAUUUACGAUUUUGAUAGAGCAUUUACUGUAUUUUUCGUCAUUGUGUCCUUCAUCUGAGCCGAUGCGAUAGAACGGAGCAAAAGUGAACAACCGUUACUGUUACUAUUACUAUAGGGCACGAGCAAGUGGACUUUUUUUACAACGACAGUGAUCCCUAUCUCAUUGCGGGGAGCCUCCGACUUCGCGAAUGAUAAAAAAAAACAGAAAGAAAAAAGAAAAAUUUAAAGAAAGAAAGCGAGGGAGAGAGAAGGACAUGCAUGCAGGGUAACACAUAGUGUUUAAAACGUGCUUAAUUAAUUUUCAAUUGUUAGUCAAGGAACGGAACCUGCACUGAUAUAUAUUCCACAUCGUGGCUCUGACCUUGAUCCCUAUGUUUGAAAGAAAAAAAGAUAACCUACUCUAAAUGCUUGCUAUGUGAUCCGGCUUUUUCAUUAUUUUUAGUCUCUUUCUUUCGUACUUUUUGUUAUAGAAUUGAGAGAAUCAAAUCUAGCAGUCGAACUCAAAAAGAUUAAUUAAAGAGAUAUUAAUAUGGUUUAGGGUUUGUAUAUUAUUUUGAAAGCUAAACGAGUUAGUAGUUGUUAUGUGGGGGCGCCAUUCUUAAGGUUGUGGGAUUUGAUUUUCCCUUACGCUUUCGAGAAUUAAUUGGAAAAGCGCUCGUGUUUCUGACUUAUUGGGCAUUUAAAUUUAAAUGGUGUUAAGUAUUUUUGAAAAUGGCGUAAGUACUUACCAAGGAGGGUCUACAACAGUUAACAAAUAAAAUAACCAAAUUAAUUAUUAUGUUACAUGAUUUUUAUUUUUAUUUUUUGAAAGAAAGAUAGCGAGCUAGCUGUUUCAUUCAUUAAGGGGGAUAAACUAAGUUUACAGGAUGGAUGCAGCUAAGGCAUCCGAGGAAAAAGACAAGAAGGAGAGAAAAAAAAGAACAAGAAAGGAAAAAAGAACAUUGUAAGGAAAAAGAGAAGAUCCACGCUCAGCAGAAAUUGCUCCAGUUGUUAACGAGAACUUUGAUAUGGUCGAGCGAGUGCAGAGGGUCGGGCGAAGUUGCUUGGAAGAUAGCCCUGUUUCGCUCGGUCCAGACUACCCACCAGGUCGUGGAGAUAUUACAUGAAUCUAAAAAGAUCUAAUCCAAGCCUCUCUCUUUGCUAUAGUGUGAAACUCAUGCAUGCAGGAACCAAUGAGAAAUUUGUUAGGACUUUUUUGAAGUAUCUUAUUCAAACAGCUCAUUCAUUACAAAAGAAAAAAUGACAAAAGGUCGAUAUUUCUAUCCAGGUCAACAGUAUAUAUAUCUAUAUUUUGCCUAACUUUUGUCACAUCUUGCCAAGUUUAAAAUGGAUAUGGUACACAAAUUAACGUUUAUUCAAUCAAAGGAAAAAAAAAAUUUAAUAUGUUGGCGAAAAAAUAACAUUUAAACCCAGAAAGAUAAGAAAACUCCUUAAUUUUGAAACUUCUAUUGUUGCAGAACAGAUAGUUGUCCUAGAAAUUUUAAGAAUUGUUUGGUUGCAUGUAGUUAUAAUUGUACUGUAGUUAUAACUAUAUGCAAAUUCGAAUUCAAUAUUUGGUUUAAUACAUUAGAUCCAACUAUUACAAUUAAAACUGCAUAAAGAGACUUAACUGCAACAGUUGAAACUACAUUCAAUUUGGCCGCAGUUCCAACUACAGCAUUGAAGAGAAUAACUCUAAAUAAGAGAUAAGCUUAUCUCCCUAAUCACUUUUUACAUAAUUAUUUUUUUUCUAUAUUGAAAAUAAUCUCACAAGGUGAUGAAAUCUUGCAAAUGCAUUUUCCAACUAUAUACAAUCAAAUAAAUUAUUUAUAAUUACAACACUUUCUACUCUAUAUAACGAAACGAGAUAUUCAUAGUUGUAACUGCUGCAUCUCCAAUUAUAUGUAUUUUCAACUAUACUGUAUUUCUAAUUACAUCCAAUCAAACAAGCUCUUAGUAAAAAUUUUUCUUUUCUAAAUUACUUACAGUAAUUACUUGAGAAAAAUAUAAUAUCAUAUUCUAUCCUAACUUUCUCUCUCCUCUCUUUUUCUCUUGUGUGUUUUUGGUCUUUCUAUCAAAAGAGCGUUAGUUUUGUGUUGAUAAUAAUGAUUUGUAAUAAUGUGCGUUGUCAUGGGGACAGAGUGAUGGCUCAACAGAGUUGCAUUUGUAUGUAUUUUCCUAGCUAAGUCCAAGACAAUGAAUCUUGUCUCUAAUCGAUCUCUCUCAAGAAUAUUAAUUAUUAGUCACCUACCAUUGAAGACGCCAAAAAUAUUAGUUCUAAUAUGUACACGUUGUAUAAAAAUUUUUCCGUAUAGGUCUAUCUAGCUUUGAAUUGUAUUAUUCACAUACAUACAUACAUAUAUAUAUAUAUAUAUAAAAUUAGGCUGGAAUACUAUCAAUAGCAUCAAAUCAUUGGUGCUAUUGAUUUUUUAGCUCUUGAAUUGAGAAAUGAAUGAUUAGAAUGAUGUGGAUCUCAUAGUGUUGAGUGAGUGGUUAGUUGAAUAAUAUAAUCUAACAGCUAAAAAUAAUUAAAAAAUUAAAUCUAACGGUACGGUUCAAACUGUCAGCUUACUACCAACAAAUUAAGACACCAAUUUGACACCUCACAUUAAAUUAUACUAUACCCCAUGCAUUGGAAAUUUUGGACCCCUCCAUUUAUGUCACGUUUCCCUUUGCGUCCCUUUCACAAAAGCAAAAUUUUCCCACCCCUACAAUGUCACCUAAGUCAACCAAUUAUUUCCUUUUUAGUACUCUUUCUCCUCUUCCUUUUAUAAUGCAAAAGUUAUAAAAGAAAGAAGAGAUAAAUGUUAUUUAUACACUUAAAAAAUAAAAGGUAAACUUCAAAUAUCCCUCUAUAGUUUAAAAUGUACCAAGUUAGUCCAUGUGAUUUCGCACUUUCUCACUUUAGCAUCAUGUGGUUUAAAAUGUAUCAAACUAGUACCCUAUGGUUUCAUUUUUCUUUUUUUAUUAUUCAUUUCACUAAUUUUUUGUCAUUAUAUCGGUAACAAAGUUAAAAUUAAAGGGUACUAAAGUGAAUAUUCGAUAAAUGGGUAUCUGAAAUUUUUUUGUAUAUAAUUUAACAAAAUAUUAACAGAGAAAAAAAAAAAUAGUGACAGUUAAAACUAAAAAGUACUAAAGUAAACAUUCGAUAAAUCUAGAUAAGGUAUCUGAAGUUUUUUGUACAUAAUUUAACGAAAUAUUAACAAAAAAAUCGAUGAAAAGAGAAAAAUGAAACCACAAGGUACUAAAUUAGUAAAUUGAUGCACCUUAAACCACAUGGUACUAAAGUGAGAAAGUGCGAAACCACAGGUACUAAAUUGAUAAAUUUAAACCGUAGGGUACUAAAGUGAAAAAGUGCAAAACCACGGGGGUGGUAUUUGAAGUUUUACCAAAAAUAAAUAUAAAUAUUCAUUUCAUAUUAAAAUUUAAGCUCAUUUUUUAAUAUAUAUAUAUAUAUAUAUAUCAUUUGGCUUUAUCUAACUUCUUAUAAUUAGAUUUCAAAAGAGAAAUAUCUAAACACACAGCAGUCCAUGCAUUAAUGUCUGUUCCCGUGCUCUUCUGUAUAUUACCAUGCACACCUUGUGCGCUCCUACACGCUUCACACUUCUUUUUUUUCAACCCCCUCUCUCUCUCUCUCUCUCUCUCUCUUGAGACCACUCUAAAUCGAUCAGCUUCAAUGUAUCACCAACUCUAGAGGAGUGGCCGGAGCCGAUCGUGCCCGUCCAAUCCAUAUCAGAAAGCGGCAUCACCACCGUCCCCGACCGCUACGUCAAGCCGCCGCCGGACCGCCCGGCAGCCGCAGACACCCUCUCCUACGCCGACGAUACAUGGACCCACAACAUCCCGACCGUCGACCUCGCCGCCUCCGCGACCUCCGCGGCCGCCGCGGUCUCGGCGGCGUGCCGGGAGUGGGGGUUCUUCCAAGUGGUGAACCACGGGGUGGGGGAGGGGCGCAUGCGGGGGGUCCGGGACGCGUGGGGGGAGUUUUUCAGGCUCCCUGCGGAGCUCAAACGGUCGUAUGCGAACGCGCCGACGACUUACGAAGGGUACGGGAGUCGGCUGGGAACAGAAGUCGGCGCCGAACUCGACUGGGGCGACUACUUCUUCCUAAAUUUGCUUCCCGAGUCGGCGAAGGACUACGCCAAGUGGCCCACUGAGCCCCCUAAUUGUCGGUACGUCGCGUGGACCCGGCCUACCACGUCAUCUACAGAUUAGGUUCUAUUAGAAUGCAAUUAUCACGUACGUACCAGGACGCCGAGAGAGAAUAUUUAGUACGUCUUAUCAUUUGUUCAUGCACACGCAUCUUAAAUAACAAUUAAACGAAGAACUAUAUCGAUCGCACAAAACGUUUUUUUUUUUUUAAUAUUAUUAUUACUCCUCCUUUUCAUAGGAUUAUAAAGCUGCAUGGACACAAGGGCUCCUUGUUACUUGCUACUAACUUUUUUAUAUGUUCGACAUACACACUUAUUAGAUUAUCUUGAGGUUAAUUUCAUGUACAUUAUUAUUACAUUUUAGUGUCUAUAUAUUUUUUUUGCUAUGAUAUAACAGUUUAGAUAAAAAUUAUAUGUAAGACCAACAAUGAGCCAUCUGUGCCGGAUGCGAGGCCAUCAUGAGUACGUUCAGGUUCCCCAAGCGGAAAAAAAGAAAAAUCAUCUAUUUCCAUAAACUUGCCGUCAAUCAUGAAGAAAAAAAAAUUAUGUGUAUAAAAUAUAAUAUAACUAAAUUUUUUAAUUUGACUAUAGUUCUUUAGAUGUUAAAAGAGUUUUUUUUUUAGAGAUAGGUAGCACGCUACUAGUGUGCUCUCAAGAGAUUAAAAGAGUUGAACUUACUGGUGUUAGAGUAUUUCUAAAAUAGGUGACUCUCUCAAAAGUGCGACGUCACAUUUUCCGAUUGGGCCGUAGACCUGGUGUACCGGAAUAAUAAUAGUUCUAAUUAAGUGAUAAUGAGUUGCUCCUACCAAUAAUAUAUACGCAGGGAAAUCACCGAGGAGUACGGACGCGAGGUGGUGAAGCUAUGCGGGGCGCUGCUGAGGUUGCUCUCCAUAAGCCUCGGACUCGGCGCCGACUUCUUGGAGAGGUCGUUCGGAGGCGCAGAAGAAGUCGGCGCCGCAUGCCUGCGGGUGAGCUACUACCCGAAAUGCCCCCAGCCCGAGCUCACGCUGGGCCUCUCGGCCCACUCCGACCCCGGCGGCCUCACCGUCCUGUCGGCCGAUGACCGCGUCUUGGGCCUCCAGGUUCGGAAGGCCGGCAGGUGGAUCACCGUGCGGCCCCUGCCCGGCGCAUUGAUCGUUAACGUCGGCGACCAAAUUCAGGUUAGCACAUGCAUGUCGUUCGAUGACUAUGGUCUGGAAAGUAAUUGUUAUUGUUCUCGAGAACAUGAAAUAUUCUGGUACAAACUGAAACAACGGUAAAUUUAUGCUUAGAUGUAUUCAAGAAUAUUUUGAAGGAUCAAUAUAUUUAGUAGCGUGAGGAAUAUUAAAAGUCUAAAAAAAAUAAAAUAAUCAACUUAUAUCUAUAUAUUUUAUAUAAGACUAUUUUAUGUAAUAAUUUAUGUAACGCGCCAACUUAUCAACGUUCAUCCGUUCUAAGACUACUCUAGCACUAGCACGUUUAACUCUCUUAACCUAAAGAGUCUAAUCACCGCGUAAAAUAUUAUAGCCGGAUUAAGAGUUUUAGCUCUACUAUAUCUUAUAUAGUAGAAUUAUUUGAGAUUUUACAAUUUAUAAUAUAAUAUUAUAUGUAACGAUCUGAUUUAUAUUAAUAUAUUUAAUUUAUUGUUAAUUUAUUUUAUAUAAUUAUGUAUUUUAUAUAAUUUUAUUCAUAAUAUAUGUAAUGAAUAAAACAUAAUACUAGCAAUAUCUUUACAAUUUUAAUUAAAAAUACUGUAAGUUUUAAUACAAAUUUAAAAGAAAUAUAUAAUAUAUAAAGAAUAAUUUGAUAUAUUUGAACUUAAUAAAAAAUAAUAUAAUAAAAUAUUAAUAUAUAAAUGAUAAAACAAAUAUAUAAUAUACCAAACUUAAUUAGUUUAUAUUAUAUAAUAAAAUUCAAGUAAAAAUAUAUUAUCAUAAAGAUUAUAUAUAUAUAUAUAUAUAUAUAUAUAAUAAAAUAAUGAGAACAGCAAAAUUGUUUCUAGUUAGAACAAUUUUUAAUGGAUUGUUUCAGAAAAUCCACUUAGAUCGGAACAACUUAUUUCGUCCAACUUUUUCGCCGUGUUUGAAUACAAGUUGGAGGGUGUUCCCUUAUUUCAGAGAUAUCUCUCGAACCAAACAUAGCUAUAGAGAAUUAAAGAGUUUCAUCUACCACAUUUUAGUAUGGAAGCUCAACCAAAUAUAUAUAUUCUAUCUGUGUAGCGGGUCUGAAAUAUUUUAUUGUUAUUGCUUUUUAAGCAAAAAUAUAAAAAAAAUGUUCCAUCAUUACGCAUGAACUAGUUUUAGUUAACUCCAUAUUGUUGUUCAAGGAACUGGAUUCUUAUCCACUCCCUUGUCCAGGGGAGUUUCUACAAUAUUUUUAUAUGCACAUGUGAGUAUGUGACAUUAUCUCCUACUUAAUUUUCUUUUCCCCUUUUCCUAUCUUUUUUUUUUUUUUUUCAGAAAAUUAAUAGAGAAAGAUCUAUAGAGUAGUUAUCCAUUCCUUGUCUCCUUGCUGCAUAUACAUUUCGAUGAAGCCCACAUGUCUUGUCUUAUGGGAGAGUCACAAGAUCUUUCCACAAAAAUAUUUUCCACAAUACCCAUCAUGGAUAAAUGAUUAGUAUAAUAUGAAAUAUCAAUUUUGAAAUUUAUUUAUUUUACAGUUUUAAUUAAAUUUAUUUGUUAAAAGAAAUGAAGUGAAUAUUUAAUUAAAAGAGGAUUUAAUUAGUAAGUAGUUCAAUUUGUUAGAUGCUUAUAUAAAUAUAAUUAUAAACAUUUUUUUUUUUUUUUAGAAAGAGGUAGCACGCUACCUGCUUAAUUCAUUAAGUCAAUGAAUUUGGCUACAUAGGGUGAGGCAGCCAAGGCCUCAAAAGGGCGAAGAAGCGACCAGAAAAAGGUUUAAGCAAAAACAAGAAAAAAGAAGAAAAAAGGCAAACCCAGAUCCAGACCAAUACACCUCCGUUACCUGGCUUUACAAUGCUCAGCCCACUCUUUUGCCAACAUUCCGAAAUGAUAGGAAGAUAAAGAAACGUCAGUGAGUAGAUCUCUAAAAAUAGCGUUAUUCCUAUCAUGCCAGAUUGUCCACCAAGUGGCCACCAGUAGUGCCUGAGCCUUUCGACCAUCGCUCUUUGGACGUCUCUCUAGCAGUCGCUCCCAGACGGUGUUUAUAUCUUCGUUGAGGGGGUAUACGAGACACUCUCCAAGAUGCACGAAAAGAAGAAACUUGCUAACCACGCAUCCUCCAAGCAAAUGGUCUACCGUCUCGGGCUCAGCCCUACACAAGAAACAAAUGUUAUAUCCUGAUCACCCUCUUUUCAGAAGAUUGUCCAUGGUAGGCAGUCUUUUUCUGAGAGCUGGCCAUAAGAAAAUUUUUACUUUAGUAGAGAUUUUCAGACUCCAAAUGGCCGACAUAGCGGCAUCCUUGACACCUCCGCACUUGAUAAUCGAGUACACCGAUUUGGUUGUGAAUCUAUCCCCUGGGUCCCACCUCCAGCGGAAAAUGUCUGGUUGAUUUUCCAAUCGGAGGUUAGUGAGGGUAUUCUUCAGGUCCCUUAUGCUCUGCUCACAUAAGUGAGAGUUCCGUCUCGCUCCUCUCAGGAUCUUUUUCCACCUCCAUUCUAAGGUAGAGAAACAAUCACAAACGUGAACCUCCUUAAGGUCGACAAUCGCAAAUAUAUCGGGAUAGGAUGACUUCAGGGGCAAGUCCCCGCACCAUUUAUCUGACCAAAAAUCGAUGUGACGUCCGUCCCCUAAGCCAUAGAAUACUCCACUCUUGAAAAUUUCCUUCAAAUUGAGCACACUUCUCCACCAAUGUGAGGCACGUCGGAACGAUCGACCCUCGGAUAAGGGUCACCUGCGGAUGUAAAAUAGGCUCCUGAUCAGCUUGAUCCAUGGCAGAUCUUGUUCAGUGAGGAAACACUACCACCAUUUAGUUAGGAGUGCAUCGUUCAUGGUACCAAGUCCUUAACACCUAAACCCCCUUCUUUCUUACUCAUACAGAUAUUUUUCCAAGCUACCAUAUAUCAUCCCCCUGAAAAGCUCGCCCGACCUUUCCAGAAAAAGUUCCUUCACAGCGUCUCCAUACGUUUUAGCACCCAUCUUGGAGCUUCGAAAAAAGAGAAGAAGUGCAUCGGCAGAUUGGAGAGAACCGAAUUGAUCAAAUUUAGUCUCCCCCCUUGAGAGAGGAGUUUGGCCUGUCACCCGUCGAUCUUUCUACGGAAUUUAUUUAGAACACCAGCCCAAUCAUUUUUUCUAGGUGCCCUAAAAGUUAAAGGUAGGCCUAGGUACUUAGUAGGCAACUGUCCAACUUUGCAUUGUAGGAUAUCGGCGAGUCUCUUGGCUUGUCCAUCCUUAUUCCCCAUAUAGAACACCUCCAUCUUUGCUUUGUUAAUUUUGAUUCCAGAGGCCCACUCAAAAAGGAUCUACAAGAAUUUAAGAUUACGCAUAUAUCUUUUCCUUGCUUCACAAAAGAAGAAAAUAUCAUCAGCAUACUGUAUUAACAAUACAGAGCUAUCUGAAGUGGGUCCAACUCCCUUGAGAAAGUUAGACUCCGCAGCUCUGUUAGUCAUCCUUGCGAGGCACUCGAUUACAAGGAGAAGAAGGUAAGAAGAUAGAGGAUCUCCUUGUCGCACACCUCUUUUAGUUUUGAUCCAAUUUGUAGGUACUCCGUUAACGAGGAUUGCGAUUUUAGUAUUACAAACACACUCGCUAACCCAUCCGCCAUUUAUCGUUAAAAUCCAUCCACCUUAGAACCUUCCUCAAAAAAGACCAGUCGACUUUGUCAUAAGCCUUUUCAAAGUCUAUUUUUAUGUCGACCUCUUAGACCGCCUCUUUAUACCCCCAAGUCACUAGUUCGUUGGUGGUUACAAACCCGUCAGUCAAGAGUCUUCCUUUUAAAAACGUCGACUGUGAGGUAGAGAUUAGGGCUGGCAAAACCCCUUGUAGCCUAUUAGCUAGGACUUUGGAAAUGAUUUUUUGGAUCCUAUUCAGUAAACUAAUAGGUCUAAAGUCGUUGGCCCUUACCGCACCUUUUUUUUUCGGGAUGAGACAAACGUAUGUAUAAUCCCCGGCACGGGUAGAGAGUCGACCCUCGUAGAGCUCUUGGAAGAUCAGAAAAAUGUCGUUCUUGAUGACGUCCCAAAAAUUUUGGUAGAAGCUCAAAGAAAAGCCAUCAGGUCCCAGAUUCAAGGUCAAAAGGGAUAGUUAGAAGAUCAUGGUUGGUGACUUGUCUGGUUUGGAAAAGUAUCCCCAACAGAGUGUGCUACAUUUGAUUCCGGGGCAUAGAGAUCCAAAAAUUUACCCCGAAAGUAGCGUUUCUUAUCCUCUUCCUUAGAAAAACUUAUACCUUCGUCUACAAUCGUUCCGAUCGCAUUCGACCGUCUCCUAUUAUUGGCUAUCGCAAGGAAGAACUUAGUGUUGCCGUCUCCUUCCCGUAACCAUUGUUGUUUGGCGCGGAUAUUCUACAUCCCUUCUUCGUCUAAAAGUACGUUAGCCAGUCGGGCUUUAAGAGUCUCCCUUCUCUCUUGAUCUAAUUAUUUAUAAUUAGAUCAAGGGCCGGGGAGGUGGACUAAGCACUAAGCAGGGAAUUAGUUGGCUCCUGCUGCAAUAAGUUCCACCCACGUGCACCUCCAUUAUUAUUAUUAUUAUUAUUAUUAUUAUCACGUGCAAAAAAAAAAGUUCGAGUGGGCUCACGACUAUCGGGGCUAUCGACACGUGGAAUGUCCCCAACCAAUGGAGAAAAAGUUGUACAGGAACUCCUUUUGUGUACCGCACCUAACCUUACCCUACACAACAGGAUAAAUCGUUACAUAUAUGUACCAUAUAUAUUCAUUCAUGCAUUCAUGCACUGUUAAUUCAUUAUUCAUUUAUUUUAUCUUCCAUAUUAGUUUCUAACACACAAUGAAACGAUUCAUUAUAAAUAACUUUUUGAGGAAAAAUUAAAAUGGUCUUUUUUUAUUAUAAAAAAAAAUGUGUUUAAUUAUAUAGGUGAUAACCAACGGGAUUUAUAAGAGCGUGGAGCACCGAGUGGUGGUAAAUGCAGUGGCGGAGCGGCUUUCCAUCGCCGUGUUUUACAACCCUAGAAAUGACCUUCUGAUUGGGCCUGCGCCGGAGCUCCUGACACCGGAGCAGCCACCGCUCUACCGUCCCAUGACUUACGGUGAGUAUCGCAUGUUCAUCAGGAAGAACGGGCCCAAAGGCAAGGUGCAGGUCGAGUCGCUUAAGACCGUUUAAUCAAUUGAUCUUAUCGAUAAAAAUGUAAUAAAGGUGCAUGGAUUGUAGAAGUGCUUCCUAGCUAAACUAUUGUACAUAUAUAUUAAUAUAGUAUGAUCCUCAGCUAUGAUCCUCUAAUUAUGAGAUGUGAAUAGUACAUAUUAUAGAGUUUUAAAUUUUCGAAUUAAAUGCUAUUCAACCUAUCUUUGCUAAAUUCUAAGCAUCCAAAGAUUACAAAGUCUAAAGUAUGUAUUAUUCACGUAUUAAUGAGAGGAUUGUAGUUGGACUACUCUUUUUAGAAUGUAAUCUUUUGUUGUUCUACUUUCACUACGUCGACGGUAUCAGAGUCGAAAUGUAACAUCGAUCAGUCGAUUAUGUUAUAAAGUGUUCGGUUAAGCAACUACUCUGUGUUUUGCUUAAAAUUCUUCAAUAGUUUUUUUUUUUUUUGUUUUUUUUUUUUUUUUUUUUUUUUUUUUUUUUUUUUUUUUUUUUCAAAACUAUAUCUAGAGAUGCAGAAAUUUAACUAGUUUUUGCUAUUGAGUGAUUCCCCGGUUCUUUACUAGUCGAAUAAAGGGGCAAUCUACAUAGAUAAAUAUAAGAUCAAAGGAAAAAAAAGAGUUUUUGUUUUUUUUUUUUUCAAUUCCUUAUGGAAUCAAAGUUGAUUCUUAACUCCAUAAAAGAAGUCAUUUUGGAGGGAUUCAAUUUCUCUCGAAAUGAGAAUUGAAACAUGAAUUUCUCCAUCAAACGCCAACAAUUUAAAAAAAUGAAUUAUUUUGAUUAUCCGUUCAAACCUCAAAUCUUUUAAACCAAACAUAUCCUAACUGCAUACUCAUUAUUUACACGAGUGGUAAAUAUCAUGCAAAGAUACGAGAAUCACUAACUAGAGAACAUAUAAAAGGACAAAAUCCAUGUAAUAAAUAUGCAAUGGUUCUUUCAGGAAGAAGUUUAAAAAACUACCCUUAACCGGGCCAUGAUUUUUUGCACAAAAAAGGCGAAAAAAUUAGGAUUAAUUGCAUGCAGGUCCCCGCAAAUGUAGUAAAUUACAAAUAUAUUUUUGUUUCAACUUUCAUAAGUUAUUGCUGCAAAAGUACUAAUGUUUUCAGAUACGUCUCUUUGGUUUGUUACCGUAAGAGAACUGUUUACAUUUUCAAUUUUGCCAUCACAAAUAUAUCCUUUCAAAAGUUAUAACAGUAUAAUAUAAGAUAGGUAAAAAUAUCAAAAAUUAAUCCGGAUAAAGUACUUAAUCUAUGGUUAACUAAGCUUUUCUAACGGAUUCUAACGGCAAAGACAUAUCUAAAAAUAUUAGAAUAUUUACAGGAAUAACUUAUUACUUAUGAAAGUUGAACUUUAUAGGAAUAUAUCUGUUAUUCACUAUAUUUGCAAGAACCUGUAUACAAUUCACCCAAAAAAUUAUUAUAGCAAAUUAGCACGGAGACUUUGUAGCCCGGGCUUGAGUCCGGCCCGGCUUUUUACAUGCCAGAGAGCCCAUUUUGCUUCUGUUCCGGGCCGGGCCUCUAAAAGCUAGGCCCAAUGGAGACUCCUCAACUACAUAGUCUAUGUCCCCUCUUCUAAUUUACCUGUUAAAAAUUAGGUAAUUUUAAUCAAAUAAAUUACAAUUAAAAUUUAAUUAUACGAAUAAUAUAUAAAAAAUUACUAAAUUUAUUUACAAAAUUUUAAUUUAACAAACCAGAUAAUGUAAUUUUUUUACCAAAAAAUUUCAAAGUAAAAAGCGCAUGCACUUGCUUAAUUAUCCUUUUGGCCACUACCCAUCCAUCUCCCUUUUUCUCCUUCGAAAAAGCUCCGAACAAAAAUAAAUGAUCGCGGUGAGCAGCAGCAGUAGCUUCUCUCCACAUCUCCGCGUCUUCUCUUCUUCUUCCACGCGACCAAAAAAGGUGCUCUCCAGUUUCCCACACAUCUCCCUCUAACUCGGCGCCGACUUCUAACGCAAAACUUAGCCUCUCACUUCACAGUCGCCGCCGACUUCUAAUUGUUUUGUUUUGUUUUUUUUUUUUUCCUCACACUUGCGCUUGAGAUGGAUUCGUCGUCCGUCGAGUCGACGAAGUCGGCGCCGAAGAUCGUGAGUCUAAAAGCCGUCGACGCGACCGCGUCGAGCUUCGCCGACUUCGGCCAGGUCGUCUCCGCCUCCCCCGACGGCGAGUUCGGCCCCCGCGACGCCCAAUUAGAUCUCAGCCGUGGAAUCCCCAGGUCGAUCGAUCGAUCUCUACACCACAAGCUUCUGAUUCAUCAGAGAAAUUGCGUGCGCUCUUUGUGUGAUCAAAUCAAUUUGUUUUUUUAGCUUAUUUUAUUAGUAAAAUGUAUGGACUAUCACAAUUUUGNAUCGCUACUCCUCGCCGUUACAAAUAUUUUACGAGGUCGAGCUCAAAGCAUGUUCAAGAUUACACAAUCCUGAUAAAGUGAUAGGUAAAAUUAGAACAAACGAUAGAAAAAAGAAGCAUGGAUUAAUGUCCGAUAUAUAUAUAUGUGGACCAAAUUGCAAUAAACCUUCUUAGAUUCUUAUCAUUGUUUGCUCCAUGAUCAGCUAAACCCUGCUUCUUUUUUCUAUCGUUUGUUCUAAUUUUACCUAUCACUUUAUCAGGAUUGUGUAAUCUUGAACAUGCUUUGAGCUCGACCUCGUAAAAUAUUUGUAACGGCGAGGAGUAGCGAUUUUUUAUGUUUCGUUACAACUUUUGUUGUUUUCGUCCUCAACAGGUUCUAUAUCAUGAAUCUGAGAGAUCGGAAACUGCGGUUCUCGACGAUCACCCAUCACGCGAGUGUGACUCAGUGCCUCGGUUCUGUCGGUGGCGGAGAAUGGUACCUUGGAGUCGCGAAGCCCUCGAUAGUCGAUCCGAUAAAUGUCGAGAAUGAGGAUGAAAAUGGGCUCGUGAAAUCAUCUUGCGGCCAUUAUUAUAAACCGCCGCAUCCCGACGAAGUACGCGUUUUCCGAGUUGCGGGUCCCAAGUUUCUCAAGCUUAAUGCUGGGACCUGGCAUGCCGGCCCACUGUUUAAGUUGACGGAAAUGGAUUUUUAUAACCUGGAGCUAAGCAACACUAAUGUGAGCUUCGCAGUUUUUCUUUUCCCCUUUAGUACGUACGAGCAAAAUGUUUGCUCGCUCUUAAAAUUUUUUAGAUGUUGUGCAAGUUUUUUCUGCUGUUAAUUCCAACAUCUGUCAGCUAAGAUCUUUGACUUUUAUGUUUAAACAGAAUCCUCUGAUGCAUGCUUUCUGAUUACAUUUCGGCAAACUUAAGAAUUGAUUACUGACAUUCAUUUACUUCUUCUUUUUUUUUCCCCGUAGAUUGAUCUCUCAGCUAGUUUCUUGUUUUCUGUUCUUCUUAUCUUUGCUGCAGGCGGUGGAUCACACGACUCACAAUUUCCGAAAAGAAGACGGGGUGGUUUUCCUGAUUGAAGAUUAGAAGCUACGUUUCAUGAGGUGCAUGUUUCACGGACCCAUAACUCGUAUUGGAACUAUUUUAAACCAGUUACCCAGCUUGUUCAGGAAUUAUAGCUUACUAGCUCAUCUACACUUGCUAGUAUUUAUAAUAAAGUGUUUGAUUUGUGACAUCUGCCAAGAAUUUGUUUAAAGAGAGAAAUUUUUUAGAUUGAUUUCAUGUUGUUUUCCUGAGAAGAAUGCAAUCACUGAAGCAAAAAGGAAGGGUAAACACUAAACAUUAUUGCAGCUAAAGAAAGUUGUUUAAUAUUUAACACUUUCAAAAGGGUAUGUGUUUUUUUUUUUCGAUUUAUUUCAUCUCGAUAAGCACUCUGAUCUAUAUACAAAAAUUGUUUUCAAUUUUAUUUACAAGAAAACAUCUUUUCUCUUAUAACCCUGCUGAUGAUUUAUCAGUGCAAGGAGCCAUAUAAUGGAACUCAAUCUGUAGCCUUUUAUGCAUAGUAUUUUCUUCUUUAAACCCUUUUCUGAUGUCUUCUUGGAGUCCUCUCAAUGGAAUAGCUGCUAAAAACCCCUUGAUAUACUCUUUACAGCACGCCAUCCCUUCGCAAAUGAUCUCGACAGGAGAACCAUUUUCUUCGUUUAGCCCUCGGCUUUCCACAUCAUUUGUUUCACCAUUGGAUUCUCCUUUUCGAGAGCCAGAAGUAUGUUUCUUUCUAUAGAUCACGCUCGCUUCACUGAACUUCAAUAUGUAUGCUUGGUUGCAACCUUCAUAUAAUCUCUCCCCAAGUGUGUCGAUCAAAUAAAUAGCACUUUUUUCCAUCUUUAAAACAAAAAAGUGAUCAUUCCAACUAGUGAUAUAUACCCUUUCUUCGAAUUCAUUGUUGUGUAAAAGCUCAUUCCAUAUGCUGUCAAAAGACCUCACUGCUUGAAGGUAUUCAAUAUCAUCUAACCUGAAGAAACCAAUGAAGGAAUUAUCCACGAUUUCAAUUAUCGGUCUUAUUCUUGCCUCUAUUAUUGUAUUGAGAUCGAAAUGCCGGUCGGAGAAGUUUUCUUUAUAAUUAUCAUCGUCACAAAGUUUUCUCCAUUCUGAAGACCCCUCACGAAUUUGUUGAUCGAACUGGCAUCUUAAUGGAAGAGAAUUUGGGUUUCUAUGCAUCCAAUCGGCAAUGAUUACUGCGAGAACCGUGCAUGCACUCCCACCAUCGGCUUUCUCACUUCUUUGAUCAAUUGACGCGAAAAAUGUAUCGGUAGAAAGCUCCAUCUCACCAUUUCUGCUUAAAACACUCUUCUUUUCCCACUUUCCAAUCUCAAAUUGAUCUUCAUCUUCAAACCCUAUUUCUUUCGCCUUUUCCUCAGGGUGUACUUUAGUUCUCUUUGAGUACCCUAAACAUCGCCUCUCGACAUCGAUAUCAUCGCCACCGAGUUCACUGCAUGCUUUAUUCAAGAGUGGAACUCCCCCAGAAAUAUUGAUCUUUUUGAAGCUGUUUUUGAAGCCAAGUCUUGCUUCAUUCCAAGAAAAAAACCUCAAAAGGGGAGUUUCUUGUUUGUAGUUGACAGGUGAUUUUUGGUGAUUCAUCUCUCUUCCAUCCUUUAAUUCUUCAAUAUCACAAGCAAAUUGAUCGUUGAGUAAGAUAUUGGUCAUUUUCAACUUUUUAUAAUCGAACUCAGGCUCAUCAUCUGAUGAUGAAUCCAUGAAAGAUUGAUUAUUAUUAAAUCUAGUAGCAAAGAGAGCAUGUCCACUGCUUGUGCUGCCUCUCUGAUUUCUUCUUGGAUUCUCAGUAUUUAAGUGUCGUUGAUUCAAUGAGAAGGAUCGUAAAGUAAACGUUCGUGCCAAAUAGAACACACUUCUUUUUUCUGAGCGGAUCUCAGUUGUUUGCAGCUUCACCUGUUUAAAUUUGCAAAAAUGAAAAACAAGGAGGAAAUAUGGAUUGUGUGUGUGUAUAUAUAUAUGUUGAAAUUACCUGAAGAAUAGCCACGGAAGAACAAUCUCCAAUCUUGAAAUUGACUGGAAUUCUCAAGUUCAUCCCACUAUCUGCUGGAAAAUACUCAGUAAUAUCUAUCUUGGCCUCGACAAAAAUCAGUUCUUUACCUUUCAUUCUCUGAUCCAUUCCCUGAUCGAUAUUUAAAAAUACAAAGAAAAUAAUCUUAAUUCAAUACUAAAGUAAGAAUGAAUAUCAUCUCAAUUCUCAUAAAAACUAUACAUAAUUGACUUACUCGAACUUGUAGAUUGAUGUUCCAACUUCUGAAACUCUCAGAAUUGUCCCUUUUGAGGUUGACAACCUGCUCGAACUCUUCGUUCCACUGAACAAUGCCAUUAUCUUGGAUUUGUUGCUUCAAGGUGUGACUCCUCUUGAACCUUUUACCAAAAAAGCCAUGUUUUUUCCCGUCUCCGAUCCAUUGGAUCCUCAGAUUUAAACUGCUGAUGUUGAGCUCCUUUAAUUUCUUCCGAGGGAGUUGUUCAAUCGCAUGAACAGUUAAGUGUAGAUUGAAGCUCAUGGUGUCUGUAGGGAAGAGAAACUGAUUCAACUAUGGUAUGUUCAAAGAGAAAGAAGGUGGUUUUGAUGACUAGUUAUUAGAUAAUGUUUAGAAGCACUCUAUGGUUUUGAAACUUAAGCAUUGUGAACCUUUGUGGCACAAGGGUUUUUUCUAAGUCAACUUCUUCCUGUCUAAGCAGCUAUGGUUGCUUAUUGGGAUUGAUAAGAAAGAUAAAAUGUAUGGAAGUCCUGUACUAAACCAAUAUUAUGACAUGGUCACCGUUUUUUAACUUUUAACACUUUAGCGCUUGAACUUUUACCCUAAUUGUUAGAAAUAAUUUGACUUUUUUGUAGAAUGACAUUUUUUUUUCCGUUCAAAUAAAAAAUGGAAAUAAGCGAAACAUUUUACUAAUGAUGGGGUAAAAUGGUUAUCUUAUAAGAGAAAUUAGAUCGUUUUGACUAUUAGGAACAAAGUGUGAUAUAUGUCAAAGUUCAUUUUAAGUGCACGGACCAAAUCAUUAUAUUGGGGUAGUUCAGGGAUUAUCCAUAUAUUUUAUCGCCAAAUAAAUUGACCCGUUAAGAUAAAGACCCUGUCCAUCUACAUUCUCUUUCUAUAUGUUAUAUAAUAUAUGCCAGUUCUGUUAUCCCAAAAUGGAGCAAACUGUUUUUUUAUUUGGAUUUUUUUUAAUUAUCCUAUAGGAGUUUUUUUAUAUAUAUGUAUAUGUACAUAUAUUUCUCUCAUAGAUAGAUAUUCCGCGAAACCUCAUGACUUAGAAACCUUACUUAGCAAUUUUGUAAGUUCUCAAUAUUUGAGGCUUAGGAACAUUGAGAUGGUGUAUGCUUUGUAUCUCUCGCAAUUUUCAAUCUAUGAAAAUUAAAAGGCUUAACCAACUGUGCCUAGUGCAGUUGACCGAGAGUUUGAUGGUUGGUGUUCAAGAUCCCAAGUUUGAAGCUCAGUUGCGAAGUCUAGUUGCUUUAUAUUUUUAGUCGGAUUCAUUUCUAAAAAAAAUGAACAAAACAGCUAGUUUGCUACUACUCUAUCAAAAAAAAAAAAAAAAGAAAUUAAAAUGAUGAUGAACAGCUUUAUAAAUCAUUCAUGACUAAUGUGAUUUUUUUUUUUCACGACGAUGCAAAAUUUUGUGAGUGACUUAUGAUUAAUAUGUUGAUCAUUUGUAUGACGCUGUCGACGAGAACUAGUUAUUAUUUACUUGUUUAAAAAGGUAAUGUUGAUUGAAAUUUUUCUUAAACCUUUGUGUCUUCUGAUCUUCUCCAUGACUUUAAUGUGUCUGAUAGUGUGGGAAAAUUGCACCUGGGUCCUCAACCGAUUAGCACUGUUUUUGUUUGAUCCUCGACAUUCGGAUGUUUAUAGUUAGGUCCCUAACUUUAUGUUCUAUAUUGCAAAUCUUAGCCUCAUGUGUAGUUACUGUGUUAUUGGUAUGUAACAUACUUUAGAACUACUCAAAUGUGUGCAGGAUAAUUUUACUUGUGUGGUAAAUUCUUUAGGCAUUUCUAUUCCCAAUCUAAUUGAUUGGGGACCAAUAUGCAAUUUACCUCUCAAAUGUUUUACUUUUUUUUUUUUUCCCUUCAAAAAAAAGGGUUGUGAAAUAGUAUUAUUGGUGUUCUUUAAUCAUUUUAAAGUUUGGCAUAAUCUUUAAUAAUCCUGUGCGUUAUUUUAUUCUUGUCCUUUAGUAAAUUCAUGAUCUAUAAAUGUGAAGCAUUAAAAAAAUAUUCUCAUUAGUGUGUGAUUGUUUGAACAAAAACUUGAAUAUUUCUUGUUCUAUCGCUUUCACUAACGUUUUAAUUUUUGUUGUUGUUGUUGUUUUAGACCAGCUUCUGGUCAUGGUUGAUAAAGUCGUAUUUUGGAAAUUCAAACUUUAAGAAUUUAUUGAUAUUAAGAAAGUUUAUGGCUCAAAAGGUCAAAGAAAAAUGUUGAAUUACGCGUCGAACCUUGUUGUUUAUAUUUGUUUAUUCUCAGUAGUUUUUCUUUUUUAUGUGUCGGUAAAACAUGUAUAAGGAACGUAAUUUCUUUAAAAGCUUAUUUUAGUUUUUCACUGUAGAUAAGAGAGCUUGUGCAAAAUUUAAAGCUUUUGGUGAAUAUUUAAGCAGUUUAUUAUUUAUUUAUUUAUUUAUUCGGUUUCUUCUUUGUUUAAUUCCUCUGGGAGAGACUAAUACAUGUAAAUAGUUUAUUUAAGAGGGGUAUGUUAAUGUUAAUUAAUAAUUAAUAAUAACUUUCUAUGUGGUACAAUUUCGUACCGUACCUUCGACGAGCGCGGCGAAGCAAAGUGGUGUUGUCGUUGGUGGGGCCCACACCGGAACUCAUUCAAUGGACUCAUUGCUACGGCAAUUUUAUUAAAUUAUUUAUUUUUUAAUAAAAAUAUAUCCGGAUUAUUUUAAAAUAUAUCCUUAUUAACUCUUUUUUUUUUUUUAAUGAUUGAGGCUUGUUUUAGCUUUUAAUUCUUUUUGAAAAAAUUUUAGAUACCAUCUAUAUAGUUUUGCAUUUUUUUACUUUAGUAUUCUAUGAUUUAAAGUGUAUCACUUUCGUACGCUGUAAUUUUAUUUUUCUCUUUUUGUUAUUCUCUUCACUAUUUUUUUUCGUUAAAUCAGUGAUAAAGUUAAAACUAAAAAGUACUAAAGUGAAUAUUCGAUAAACUAUAGAUAGAGUAUAUGAAAUUUUUUGUAUAUAAUUUAACGAAAAGUUAACGAAAGUGCUGGCGAAAAAAAAAAAAGAAAUCAUAGGAUAAUAAAUUAAUAUAUUUUAAACCAUAUGGUACUAAAGUGAGAAAGUGCGAAACCGCAAGGAUGGUAUUUAAAGUUUACCCUUUUUUUUUAUUUGAGUUGUUAGACUUGGUAACUUCAAUUUUACUAAAUCUAUAUAAUUGCUAUAUUAGCUAAAACCCAUUAUUAGGUGUAAUUUUUUUGUAAAUAAUUAAAAUAAUUAAACUAUAUAAAAUUACUAGGGAAUUUGAACGAAAGAAUUAAUUUAAUCGACAUAAAACACUCAAUUUUAAAAAUUAAAUAAAAAUUAGUGGAGCCCCACGUGGAACGCACAUGUGGGCUACUUAUGGGCUCUGUCUCAUAUUGUGCGGCCCAUGACUUUUGGGAUUAGAUAUUUUUAUUGGGAAUCAGAAAAGAAAUAUUUUAAAUUUUUUCACACGAUCCGAAUUUGGCCCAUCCCAAAUACUUAAAUGGUCCAAUCAAUUGAAUGAACCCUGAAAUGCAUAAAUGCUACAGUAUGAAUGUAUGUAUGUUCAAUCAUAUAAAAUCUGUAAAAUCAGUUUCAAAAUAAUCAGAUUAUUAGAAUGUUGAUUGGUAAUAAUCUUAUACACCGCUUACGCCCGAUAAAAGAAAUCAGAUCCGGUACACAGAAUUUAUCUCAAGGUGGAGCUUAUUUCAUUUUCAUUUGCUGGUGGUGCAGAUGAAUUCUACGAGUUCGUAACGGAUGGUCCGAUCAGUAACAAUACACAGAAUUUUUCUCCGUUGCGAGUCUGCGAAGAGCCUGCAAACUCCAGGCGUUAAUAGGACGAGACCAGAAUCGCUGCGAAAAGUAGAGAUUGCAGGCUAUUUUGUACUUUUGUGUAGCACUUGAUCCCACAUUAGUUGUCCCAUACAUUUAUUGUGAUCUAUCAAAUGGUCUCCUUCAAAAUCAGAAACUUUGCCCUCGCAGUAGUUUUUGUUGUUAUUUUCUAUUCUAUGCAUGGGUCUAGCUCACAUGGCAGCAAACCAUUAAAAAAAGUUCUGAAUUUUUCGUCAGAUGUUUACUGUGUGCUUACAUGGGAGACAUUCAUUUAUUCAAUUCGAGCUGUAUGCUGAGCAGAGGCAAAAUGUUUGAAAAAAGAGUGAAAAUUUUCUCACUUCGAAUUAGCUUUGAUGAAAGCAUACCAUGCCUCCAUCCGUUCUGUAUGCAUAUCAUGCUUUAAAUCCAACCAUCUGAUUAUGAAGUAGGAAAUUCUGUAACUUAUUAAUUGAACGGUAAAAAGAACUAGAUAGAAUGUUGGCGGUAAUUUCUAAGAAGCAUUAAAUAACUUUAAAGUAAAAGAAAGAUUAGAUAGUGUCAUUUACAAGUAGCCCAAGCUAAAGUUCAAUUUAGUUUCUUACAUUUUUACCAAAUCUUAAACUGUUUGUCAGCAUAUUGCAGUAUCCUUUGUUUCUCUUGCCCACAUGUGACAUGUGCUACUGAUGUUACUGCCAAGCUAACUAACUUGUCAUUUUCCAUCAGAAGGAAACAGGAAUAAAAUCAAAUAUAAGUAGGUAGCAGAAACCAACUUUAAAUAAAAUAAAAUUCAAUUCUCAUGAAGAUGAUAAAAUAUAAAGCUUUGUAGAUUCUGCAACUAGAGAUUGUAUGCCAACCUUUGUUAUGCUUGCUCCUCUUUGGCAUGAAUUAACAAGAAAUAUAACAUAAUAUAAAAUCAAAUAUGUGAAUAAAACAAAGGAAACCCAUCCAAACCGUCCAAAUAUUUUUCGCCGGGACAGAAUCACUUGCUGUGCUGCUAACACAGACGGUAAAUUAUUACGUUUUCUUAUUCUUUUAUAUAGGUAUUGCGGUGCCACAGAAAGAUCACAUUACGAGCAUUCUUAAUCUCUAGCUGUAGUCAAGUAUCAUGUUAACAAGGUAAUAAUCUAAAUGCCAUCAUUUUUCAAUGUACAACAUCACAUUUCCAAGAGGUUCAUUCCGAAAAAAUAGCUAGCAUUUGAAAUGAAGCUUACAUUAAUAAUUGUGAGAAAUGAAAUAGAACAAUUCUUUUUUGUCGUCUUAUUUUCUUCCUUCUCUUUUUACUGCCUUUGAAGCAAACGUUACGACCGAUUUGAAAAGCAUUCUAAAAAUCUUGGCUUUUAUUUGCCCUCGCAUUUGCGAUCGUCUCCUCCUUGAAGAAGAAUCAGCAACUCCAUUUGCCAUCAAAAGAAGCAGAGGCUAAUCUAAGAAGGGGGGUUUAAAACAAAAGAGAAAGAAAAAAGAAACACUAAAUUAAUGACUAAGAAGGUGAAAUGAAAUAUUAACUUGAGAUAUAUCUUACACUGCAAUAUUUUGUUGUGUAGAUACUAAAGUUAUGGCUCUCUUUUUUUUAGAAACAUGCACAUAGGGUGAUUAAUUAAAGUUGGAAGAAACAAUUCCAUGUGUAUCACAUUACCAAGAAAAAGACCAAAAAUCCAAUUUCACAUAUAAGGCCUAGAAAUUAGCAAAAUAAUAUCAGAGAAUGAUUAGUUUGAUAUGUACAGCACUAUAGUGAGAGAAAAAAAAAGGUAAUACAUGAACAUAUUUUUAUGCUGUUAAAACAAUUUUGAGAUUAAUUACCUCAAUAAAGGAUGUGGAGAGCUCUGAAUCAACAAUGAACUAAGAAGCAACUUUUAGUUCAAAUUAGGAGUUUUAGCUCCAUGCUUGCAUAUAUACCCCCACUUCUUAAACUGUAUACAUAUGCUUAUAUUUUAUAGGACUUUGAGAAUUCAAUGGAGCCCACAAUUCAAAAAAGGGAUUUAAAAAAAAAAAAAAAAAGGAGAGAAGGUAGUGUUCAGUGGAGCCCACCUUGUGAUGAGAUGAUACACGCAACACCUACUUAGUGAUUGAAGUGAUUAAGACUUUAUAUUCUAGUAGUGAGUUUGAAGCCUAAAACUGACCAAAAAAAUUACACACACACACACACAUAUAGAUAUAUAUAGAUAGAUAAAUAGACUCCUGGCCUUUCAAAAGCACGAAGGUUUUCGUAUUUAUAAAUUAUUGAUAUAGAAUAUCCGAUUUGACGAUCGGCUCGUUAAAUUGAUCUUAUUUAGAACCAAAUCUCAUAAUUUUUUAAUUUCGUUCGCUUAGAAAACAAGUAGCCUCAAUAUGAACGAUUGAAAAUAAAAAUCUCAUAAAAAAUAGUGAUAAAAUAUUUAAAUUUUAAAUCGUAAGUAUUCUUCUUGCUCUUGAUGUUAAGUAAAAUUUUCUAUUAAAGUUUUAUAUAAUUUGGAUUCUUUUACACUGUUGAACUUAUAAAUGUGUCGCAUCGGCUAUUAAAAUAGUCGUUUUUUAGACACUUUGAACAUCUAGUAAACGAUGUUGAAAAAUUAUAAAAUUUAGUUUCUAAAUAGUUAUAAUAACGUAGAUUAUACUUAACGGAGUCGAUUAUCGAAUCGGAUGUUCUAUCAUCGAAAACAACUUGUAAGCACUGAGACCUCCAUGCUUUUGACAGCGCAGAAGACGUAUUAUAUAUAUAUAUAUAUAUAUAUAUAUAUAUAUAUAUAUAUAUAUAUUAUUAAUUAGAUGUACGCGAAUAAUAUAUAGAUGGAGAAAGAUGUCACAUUUUGCAUAUGACAAUUAAAAUGAACAUGAAAAUGGAAGUAGGCGAAAUGGGAAUAUGUAAAUAACAAAAUGGCCACGGAGUCGUUACCGAAUUUGCCCCGAAGAAAAAGCUCAAAUUGAUUCUUAUUCGCCAAAAUGAUUCCUCCUCGUUUUAAUUAGAACCUUGAAAGGCCACUUUGUUUACUCGUUCAGGUUGAAAACAACUCUAGGGCAUUUGGAUCCACGAAUCUCUAAAUCUAACGUAAAUCAAGCGUAGCGGGUUCGAAGUUUUUCUGAAGCAUAGUUAUUUUUUCCUUGUUUCUUUUGAUAUAAUUCAUAUAUUCUGAAAACUAAAUCUAAUGUUUUGAUAUAACCGUUAAACUUUACAAAAAUUAUGUUUGUAUUUUCUAUCAUGAUUUAGAUUUCUAAAUCCAAAUUAUAAAUGCGAUUCUUACUUACGGUUUGUUCUUAUUCGUGAUCUGCAAAAGAAAUGAGUAUUAGAAUUAGACCGGAACUUCUGUGUGUUAUAUAUCUAGCAUAACCUGAUGUAAAGAUAAUAAACUUACUCGCUCUCACAAAAUCUAAUAUAUUAAAUAAUUAAAUUCUCCAAUAUUAUUUAAAAAUAAUCUUAACCUAUUAUAAAGAAGAUAAUUAUAACCUUUACAAUAGAUUUUAAUAUUUAAUUAAUUUUUUAAAGACGGUUGAGUGCGGCGGAGCUUGAAUUGGAUACACUGGAGGGGAAGUCAAAAGUAAGCGAAGUAAAGGUCCAACGUAACUUAAGUUAUAUUAUUUUUUUUGAUUUACAUCAAAAUAAACACCGAAAGUGAUGAAACUCAAAUUCCACCCUUCCAUUUACUCCAAACUAAAAUAAAGUCAAAAAAAAUUAUUGUUAUCUGUUUGAUUAGAAGACAUCAAUAAUGACGUUACAACUAUAAUCAUCGCGUCUUUUUUAUUUAUUUUAUUAAAAAUUUUGACACUAGCAACUAAGAGUAUGAUAAAAAAUAAUUGGACUCUCUUUCACUUUCGGUGAAACAAAAUACUAAAUACUCUAUUUUGUUGCCUUUGGAGUGUUUGGAUUGCGGGAAAAGUGCAAUUUUUUUUUUUUGAAAAUAAAAUUAGGUAUAAAUUAAAAAUGCUUUUUUUUUAGAAAAACUAUUAUUCUAGUAAUCAAACAUAUGAAUCAUACAAUCCCAAACAAAGCAUUAGACAUCUAUAACUGCGCCACGUAGCAGAUCGGAUUUGAGCACGAUAAGCCAAGCUCGAGCUCGGCCCGAGCAAAUCUAAUCACCGGCGCAUUCGAUCUCGACUCCAACUCUAGCAGCCACCGGAAUUGGAUGGAAUCAACAUUGGUCAGUUUCAAUUCAAAUUUCAAAUUUAAAAGUUCGACACCGGUUAAAAUUCAACUCGUCAAAUGAGCAAAUAAAACAAGCUUUUUACCAAGCCAAAUUUGUGAGCCCAACGUGGGCCGAAUUUAUUCAAUGAUCAAACAUUAAUCGCCGCAUUUUGGAUUUUAUUAACUCGGCCCACAAAAAUUUUGUUAGCCCAUUGCACCAGCCCAAUAUGCCAGCCCAUUAAUUGAGGGAGAGUAAUAAGAAAUAGGGAAAACUUCAAAAAACCCCAUGUGGUUUCGCACUUUCUCACUUUAGUAGCAUGCGGUUUAAACUGUAUCAAUUUGCCCUCCUGUGGUUUUGUUUUUAUCUUUUCGGCAGCUUUUUUUCUUAAUAUUUUUUUAAAUUAUAUACAAAAAUCUUCAGAUACCCACCUAAAUUUAUCAAAUAUUUACUUUAGUAUCUUUUAAUUUUAACUUUGUCACUGAUUUAAAAAAAAAAUAAUAAAAUUGAUAAUAAAAAGAUAAAAACGAAACCACAGAGGGCCAAAUUGAUACACUUUAAACCACAGGGUACUAAAGUGAGACAGUGCGAAACCACAGGGGAGUUUUUUGAAGUUUUCCCUAAGAAACACUAUGUCUAGGUCUUGCUUUGGGCGCGUUUGGCGUGGAGAUCCAUCUAAUGCUAACAGAUAAAAUAGAGUUCGGGGAAAGCACUGAGGAAUAUGCUUCUGUCUAUUUCAGUAGGACUAUACAAGAAAAUAUAUCAUAAUGUACUUAUUGCGAUGUGUGAUGCAAUUUCUCAAAUAGAGGUUUAAUAUCUCUUUUUUGGUUUAUUUUUUAGAUUACAAUGCACCAAGAUGAAAAGGUUUACAAGCAAUCAUUCUGCUAUCCUCUUAUAUAUCUUUUUGUGUUGAAAUUCUUUUUUUUAAAAAAAAAAGAAAAAUCAGUAACAAUGCCAAACCGGAUCUUCAUUUUUUUUUUUUUUUUAGUCUUUUCUUGGAUCUCACUUAGAUUCAAAAAGUUUAAGAUCGGUGUAGACUCAAAAACAAAAAUUUCAAGCCAAUCUUAAUCAAAACUAGCUUCAAGUUCAAAAUUAAUUCCGAACCAAGCCUUCGAUAGUAGCGAGCUCCGUUCAUUUACACUGCUGCUCCAAAUAAAGAGAUUAUUGAAAGAAUAGGAUUAUGACUACUUCUCUCAUGAAAAUCUGUUCAGCUCUGAUCCAUCGUCCAAACAGUUUUAAAAUUCGAGCACGUUACAUAAUAGACGACAUAUUGGACUAUCUUAUCUUGGACCUUCCAGAUACUCCUCGCAUCAUUUUUAUUCACAAUAGUACUAUUUAAACAAAUACUUAGUGAAAUACUAUUUAUCAAUAUAUUACUAACUAAACUAUGUCACAUUGAUGAAGCAAAAUGGUGCAUGGGCCGAUAAUGAAAUCAUAGAAAAUCAUGCUUGUUGUUUCUCCACCAAACAUGGCCUGCACAAUUUGUGCAUGCCUCUACUUAUUGAUAUGAUCCUUUUCCCUUUUUUUAAUUAAUUUAUUUGUUUACCAACAUAGCAUUGUUCAAUUGGUUUUGUGCAUUGACUCUACUCAUUAACUACUACAUUAUUUACUUCUUUUAAGAUAUGUAUUUUAAAAUUUUAUUGCGUAUCACCAGUCUCAAAGUUUUGACCAAUUUGCCGUAAUAAAGAGGUUAAUUAAAAAUGAAACCAAUUGAUCAUGUAGUUAAGAUUUGACAUAUAAAAUCUCACGAGCUUUUCCAUAAGAAAAGCUUAAAAUAAGCAUUUAUUAUUAAAAAAAAAGGUUAGGUUAAAAUAGUUAUACUUACAUGUGAAAAAGAAUAUAAAUGUCAUACAUCAGGUACAAUAAAAAGAAUUGUAGGAGAGAUUUUUAUGAAAACAAAAAGAUUUCUUUUUUUGUGAAAAUAGGAAAACUCUACUUACCUGUAUUAUUAUUAUUAUUAUUAUUUUUUAAGGGGAGAGUCACAUCAAGGCCAUGAGAUUUAACAUGUAAACAAACCAAUACAAUGAUGUGAUGUCCACUAUAAUAGAAAACAGGUAAUGGGGACACAAAUAAUUAGGGGAGUAGGAAAAAAGUGCUCAUAAUAAUUUUGAGAACUCCAGUAAACAAAAUGGCUAAAUUGCACCGGAACCCACAAUUAUGUGAUUUAGAAAGAGAUCCUUUGACUUUGAAAUUAUCUAAACUAACAUGCUCUUCAAUUUCAGAAUUUAGCUUUUUUUUUAUUAGUUUGUUUAAAUAUUCUCUAACGUAUAGUAGAGAUUUUUUGUUAAUUUUUUUGCAAAUACUACAAAAUUUGAUUAAAAUUGAACCGUAUUUUAUUGUCUGAAACAGGUCGAAGCAAUAAAAAUUAAAAAUUCACUCAAAAAUUUAUCGUGAUUAGGAAAAUAUAUGUAUAUUUCUUAAGAUUCAUCGCCAAAAUUUUUUUUUUUUUUUGAGAAAAUAGGUAGCAAGCUACCUGCUUCAUUCAUUAGGUCAAAUGAACUGAGUAUACAAGUUGGAGGCAGCUUGGGCCUCCGAGAGAACGGCAAAAGGUUGAAAAAAGAAGUAAGAAAGAAGAAAAAAGAAAGAAGAGUGGAACAACAAGGGAAGGUACAUAGGGCAUCAAAGCAUAGUGGUCCAAGUGCUGAUCAGUAGUUUGAGCCGUUGAAGGGACCCGGAGACCGCGGGCGACUUUCCAUUGAAAAUAAAAUUGUUUCUAUCGUCCAGAUUACCCACCAAGUUGCAGCUAGAAUGAUCAAGCGUCGGUUUCUCGUCGUGGCGACAGGUAGUUUAGUACUUUCGGUCCAGAGACCUAAAGCGUCGUCAGUACUGCUGACGUUCGCAUCCAAUCUUCCCAUACUAAGAAGAAGAUAUCUGACGUAAACGCAGUCGCUGAAAAGGUGGUCGCAGCUUUCCGUUAGGACUGCGCAGAAAGUACAGUUCUGAUCUACGCACAUGCCGCGGGUGAGCAGUCUGUCGGCGGUGGGAAGUCUUUUUCUAAAAAGCAGCCAAAUAAAGAUCUUAAUUUUGACGGGAACUUUCAGCUUCCAAAUAAAGAUCGCCAAAAUAAAAUUGAUCUACUGAUUUGACUCUAUCUCAUCUCCCUCACCACAUGGUGCAUCUCAAUGAUUUUUUUUCCACGCCCCCCUUAUAAUUAAGUUGUUCGAUGGUUACAUCAAUUAAUAAAUUUUUAGUGACACACUCCCCAGUGUCACGCUACUCUCACGUGUACCCAAACCACAUGCACCGAUGCACACUCACUCACGGAGUAGAACCACCAGCCAACCGCAUCCGGCCACGUGUCAUAAAACUCCCCAAGCAAAGUCUUGGGACGACACGUGUCCGUACACCACUUUCACUACGUCCCCUUUCUCCGCACCGGAUCUCGCGGGCCCCACUCGUUCCUCAAUUUCUCUACAUAUCUCGUUGUACAAAACACCACAAUCUCGUACGUGGCAGGUUUCUAGUGGCUGUUUGAAAUUCUAUAUACAAGAUUACUUGCCACGUGUCUCGGAUAGGAAUCUUAUGCAGUAUGGGUUGCAGGGGAUCCGUCGUCGUUUCCGCAAACCACUCCAAAAUGCCUACGAGGACGCUAGUACAUCAUCACACUACACUAAACGCGGCCCCUAUCUCGGAAUAAGUAGCGGGAUAACUAUUCCCUAUUCCGCAUUUCCCCCUCGCUUCGAUCGGAAUAACUAUUCCCCCUCCCAAAUCUCCGAUUCUCCUCUCUCUCUCCGCCCCCAACCCCAAAACCCUAGCCGCCGCUUCUCUAGGGAGACGCGCAAUCCGAAGACCACCGAGUCCAAAUCGAAGAAUCGGGGCGGAAUAGCGGGAGAAUAGCGAGGAAUAGCCCCCGCGGAGGCUGAAUUAGGGGCGGGGGUGGGGGAGGGGGAGGAUAUGAAGGGGAAAAGCUUGCCCCUUAUCACCUUCGAGCAUAAGAGGUGCGUGGUGUUGUUUCCUCUCCUUGAUCUGCUACUCACGUGUCGAUGGAUCCGCUUUUCGCGGGAUCAAUGGGAUUUGAGUUUAUUUUUUACCCAUUUUUUACGGAUUUUUUUUAAUCGUAAGGGGGGGUCUUCGUUAUUGGAUAUUUUCGAUUUUGUUUAAAACUUUCCCCCCUUUGAUUCCGGACAAUGUAGCUCGCGAUCUUCGUCGAUUUGAUCCGGAUUUAUAAGCGGAAAGUUGGUGGGAUACUGAGGACUAACCCUAGAUCCCCAAAAUGGGAAUCUAGGGUUUUUGGGACGAUGGAUUGUGUAAUUUGGACGUCGUAUUGGUGCCGUUGUUCGAAUUAGAGUUCUAUGGCAGUUGAAUUGAGGUAAAAAAAAAUUGAUUCUUGUCGCACGAUUUCGAUCGGAAUACUCUUCGUUUCUGAUGAUUUGGGGAUCUGAAUCAGGGAUGCUUACGGGUUUGCGGUGCGGCCUCAACACUUGCAGAGGUACCGAGAGUAUGCCAACAUCUACAAGGUGGAAAUCCUGGUCAUCAAAAUUUAAUUCCUUUUCCCCCUUAUUUUUCUGUGAUUUAUUUAGAUUUUGUUAUCGUCUUUUGUGGUUUUAGGAGGAAGAAGAGGAGAGAUCAGAUAGAUGGAAGGACUUUCUAGAACGCCAGGCUGAAGCUUCUAGAAUACCUUCGGAAGAUUCUUCUGGAGAGGACAUCAAAAUCACGCCUUCGCAUGAAGAAGAAGGAAUCCCAGUAGAAAACACUGAUGAAAUCGAGAAUGGACCAGAGAAGGAGAAUGUGGAAAAGGAGGAAAAGGAACACAAGCUUCAAAUUUGGGCUCAAAUUAGGCCUUCCCUCAGCUCCAUUGAUCAGAUGAUGAGCCUUAGGAUAAAGAAGAGGAAGAAAUCCUCUGGUGGUGGGUCCCAUCUUGCUCCCAUAGAGGAGGCAAAGCAAUCAGAGGAUUCCGACGAUGAGUUCUAUGACGCGGAGAAGAUCGACCCAAACCAAGAAGUGCUUUCGGGGGGCGAGGGUGGCAAUUCUGAUUCAAAUUUGAAUUCGAAUGGAGAAAGCCAAGAGGCCCUCCACCCGUGGAAGGAAGAGUUAGAAUGCUUAGUCCGUGGGGGUCUACCAAUGGCCCUUAGAGGAGAGGUGAAGUUACUGGUUGCUACUGUUCUUGCUUGAUAUUUGAUUUGGGAAUUCAGGCUUUUGCUUAAUUGUGUUUCUUUGGUGGCUAUUUAGUUAUGGCAAGCAUUUGUGAGUGUCGGAACUCGCAGGGUGGAGGGGUAUUACAACAGUCUGCUCGCUCGAGAAGUUAAUACUAAAGGAAAUAAUGUUCAUGUCCCUGUGCCUUUGAAUGAUGCUAAUAGCCAACCAAAAGUACCAAAUGGAGUUGGAUCAGAAAAAUGGAAAGGGCAGAUAGAAAAGGUUGGUAGAUGUGUGGAUAUUGAAAGAGAAAAAGAAAAAUAUAUAACUAAUUUGUUGAUUGAUUAAUUUGUUUACUUUCCGGUAUUACAGGAUUUGCCAAGAACAUUUCCAGGUCAUCCAGCUCUAGAUGAAGAUGGGAGGAAUGCUUUGAGACGGUUACUGACGGCAUAUGCUAGGCAUAACCCGUCUGUUGGGUAUUGCCAGGUACUUCAGUUUCUAAAUCUUGAUUUUAUUAUAGUACCUUGAUUCUCAUGACUAAAAUACAGGAAACUCCAUUGUCGAUAUCACAAGUUUCACAUUUACCUCCAAGUUUUCUAAACCUUUGUUUUACCUUGUUGACCUAUGAGCAAAAGCGAAGAUAUUAUCGAACAUCAUAACAAAGAAGAAAGAUUGUCACUUAGGGGCAUCAUGUGUAUUCCAGUGAUUUGGGGCGGGGAUACGGAAAUCAUAAUAUUCACAGGGGUUUGCCUUCAAUAAUAAUUUGAUAUCAAAGGGUUUUCACUGCAAUAGUAAUUUUUCCUCUGUAUUUCACUUUCCUCUUAUUAUUUAUAUGAUAAAUUUGAUAUAAUUGCUGCAGGCUAUGAACUUUUUUGCCGGUUUACUACUAUUACUGAUGCCUGAGGAAAAUGCAUUUUGGUAAGUGGUAUUGUACCUCCUCUCAAUUAUGCAACUGCUUGUAGAAUUAUCACUUUUGAAAUUAUGUUGAACUGUGUGUUUGAUACCUCAGGACUUUAACAGGCAUCAUUGAUGACUACUUUGAUGGUUAUUACUCAGAGGAGAUGAUUGAAUCUCAGGUGCUGUCUACCGUCAGUUACUUCACUAUUUUCAGCAUGUUUAGCGUUUUUUUUUCCCCUGAGAACUAUUUUACAUGGAACCUUCUAGAUUCUAUAAUAUAAAAAGCAGAACCAAAGAGAAGAUCCUUCUGUAGUUUCACCUUGUGGACAAUCUGUUAACUACACUUCCACAUGUAUAGCUCCUAAAGCACCACUUGGAUUAUUUUUCAGGUUGAUCAGCUUGUUUUAGAGGAAUUAGUCCGUGAGAGAUUUCCAAAACUAGGUUUGCAUCUUAUAAAAUAUGGACUGUAUUUUUCUGUCCCUAAAUAACUAAUAAAAUUGGAAACAUUAAAAUGUUUUAAUGAUUCCUUGUUUCUUGGUUGCAGUAAACCAUCUUGAUUAUCUUGGAGUUCAGGUUGCAUGGGUUACGGGGCCAUGGUUCCUUUCCAUCUACAUGAAUAUGCUUCCUUGGGAAAGUGGUCAGGUUUUUUCUUAGUUAUAUGAUUAAUUCUAUAAAUAGGAAGUUGUAUUCUUCAUUUUUCGUAAUUUGCUUGUUUGUUUAGCUGUUCUAAACAUUGCAGAUUAAUACCUGUUUCAUAAAAACUUUUUUCCCCACUUAUUUCAGUGCUUCGUGUGUGGGAUGUGCUUUUAUUCGAUGGGAAUCGCGUAAUGCUCUUCAGAACAGCACUUGCUCUUAUGGAGUUAUAUGGUACUGGGUAUACUACUUCUACUGUAUGAUAGUUUUAGCAUUUGACAAGUAAUUGAUGUUAAAAUAUAUGGGCAGUUCCUAUACUUUCAAGGUAUUGCAACAUUGUGCUGAACUAUCCUGCAUACACAAUAUCUGACAUCUGUUACAUCACAUGUGCAUUGCAUGAACCUUUCCUGUAAAACGGCCAUUUUAACCCUUCAUUUACUGGAGGAGGUUUAAAUGGUUUUUAACAAGAAAGGAUCACACAUUCAGAGUGUGACUUAAUGGAUGUAACAUGCUCUGAAUGGCAAACACGAAGGCAAUUUAAUUGCAAUAUAUUCAGAAUUUCAGCAACUACAUUGUCUGAAUGGCAAGUUCAGGGACUAGGUGCAUGUUUGACUAGUUCUAAAUGACAAGUUUAGGGACUAAGCACAUGUUUGAAUUAGCUCCUGCUACUACUUUUAGUUGCAGUCACCUCUAAUAGAGCCUUUGCCAAAUAGAAAGUCUAGUGCUUCUACUGUGCCAGGAAAUAAGAAUUUAACGUUGAGGCCCAAAAGUAGGAGCUCCAAUUUGGGUUACUGAUUUUCUGCAAAGAAAGCUGGAGAACUUCAACAUAAUGCUUCUCCUAUUAGCACUACUCGAACAACACUUAUAUACAAUAGUAGUAUACUGCAGGGCGAAGGAGGCCCUAAGUUGCAGGAUCAUAAAAGUACAGGGACUACUCACCUAUUUUAACCAAUAAUCAACGGCUACAGUUAUCUUCAGUCAUUAAGAGUGCAAUUCCUUAUUCAUUGUUACGCAUCUAUGUGUAGGCCCGGCACUUGUCACUACAAAAGAUGCUGGAGAUGCAGUUACCCUGUUGCAAUCUCUGGCUGGUUCUACUUUUGACAGUAGCCAGCUUGUACUCACUGCUUGCAUGGGAUAUCAAACGGUUAAUGAACUAAAACUUCAAGAAUUAAGAAAUAAGCAUCGGCCCUCUGUUUUAGCUGCAAUGGAGGAAAGGUCGAGAGGGCUUCGAGUUUUUAAGGAUUCAAAAGGCCUCGCAACUAAGUUAUAUAGUUUCAAAAGAAACCCUGAGCCACUUGUUUCAGAAGCAAAUUCGAAAGAAGGAUUGAAUGACAUUAAUGGAAACAGGGAUGCAUUGGAAUCUGAUUCACCCACUAUAGAUUGUAUAGUUAGUGGUUUGGAAGUUGAUUCUGAAGUGGACUCUUUGCCUGAUCUCCAAGAACAGGUAAUCUUCUUGUUUUAUCCGUUGAAUGUUUUUUUGUUUCUUUUCUCGAGAGCACACAAUGGUGUUAUUGACAAUGCAAAAUUAUGGAGCAAUGAGAUGAUUACAACUACUAAGACAUUACAAUUUGGUGUCCUGAAAUUUGCUGGAGUUUGGUAGAUUUCUUUUCUAGACAUGAAGAAAUAUAUGUCUGAAUCUUUUUCUAUUGAGCAAAUAUAUGUCUGAAUCUUUUUCUAUUGAGCAGGGGAUCAAACUUUGUGCAAGUAUAAUGUAUAUGCUAAGCUUGUUUUUGUUUUCCUCCGCAGGUGACGUGGUUGAAGGUUGAGUUGUGCAGAUUGCUGGAGGAGAAAAGGUCAGCAGUGCUCGGGUUCGUGACUUCAGUUCUCACAUAUUAAUUAUUAUCCUAGGUAUAUUAUGAGCUAUCUUUCUUGGAGGAACUAACUCUUCUGGAUUUUUCUCAUUUAUAUCCCAAGAAAAUGCAAAUUAUGUCUCAUCAGAUAUUCGUUAAGUUGCAAUGUUUUCUGACAGAAGUUAUAAUCUAAGUUUCAUUUAGUGAAUGUUUUUUUUUUUUUUUCCACCAGAGCUGAGGAGUUAGAGACAGCAUUAAUGGAGAUGGUCAAACAGGAUAACAGACGUCAGCUGAGUGCAAAGGUAAUGUGCAAAAGUAGAAAUAGCAGCAAAUCAAUAUCUAUACUUAAUAAAAUAUAAAGUUGAGGAACUAGAGGAUUUCUCUGAUUUUUCACCUUGUGGACAGUUCAUAAAUUAUGUUUGUGCCUUGUGUGCAUAAUUCCUGAAAGUGUCAUGUAGAUGAUUUUCCAUAUUAUGAUUUUUCUUAAGACAUCUAGAUUCAGGGCUAUGAGUAGGAAUGUAACUGAGACAAGCUUGUUGCCUAAUUUUCUCUUGAAACUUAUCUUUAAUUGCCUUUAUCUUUUAUUUUUAAACUCAUUAAUUUUUUUACGACCUAGCUAUGUGCCAAUGAAUCCUACAAAAGCAAUUUGCAGUUUCAUGGCGACUACCUAAUGCUUUUUACAUAUGUUACUUGUAUAAUAGGUUGAACAAUUAGAGCAAGAGGUAUCUGAGCUGCGCCAGGCACUAUCCGACAAGCAAGAGCAAGAACGUGCCAUGCUUCAAGUGAGAUCAUGCUCUGAUUUUCCCCUUUUUUUCCUGAUCCUUUUCUGGGGGUGAAAAAUAUGGCUAGUCCCUGUACUAUCAUAAUACAAGUGACUAGGUCCCUGAACUUGUCACUGAAAGCUAUGCACUUCUAUUCAUCUGUGAAAAAUCUAUGUUUCCCUUGUAAAAUGACCUUUUUACCCUUAUGAAACAGUUUUCUUGUUUCAGUGUAAACUAUAAUAAGGUUAAACAAAGUUAAUUUAUAGGAAAUGUGAUGUGUUGUCAAAUCCUUUUUUUUCUACAUUUACUACAUGACUAAUAUACACUGAUUGAUUAUUUAUUAUUUACAAAGGUCUUGAUGCGGGUCGAACAAGAGCAGAAAGUGACAGAGGAUGCUCGCAUAUAUGCUGAACAAGAUGCUGCUGCUCAACGAUACGCUACUCAUGUUCUCCAGGUUCUUUUGAAUAUUUGUUCUUCCAGUUAAUUAUCGAUAAUCACCAUACUUUUUAUGCUUAUUUUUAAGAGAAUUAGGUCCACAGAUGCUUAGUCUUCUGCAUAUUUGGGCAGUUGACCAUUUGAGUGAAAAAGAGAGGCUAAUUUCUUGGUUAUCUAUUGCAUACGAAACCCCUUCUUUAUGAUAUACUUAAAAUUAUGUAACGAGAAUGCCUGUCCUUAAGUAGCUUACCGCCAUAUGUUAGCAUAUGAUGAGUGAAGCAUCAAAGGACCUCCGUAUUUUGGGGAGUUCUAAAGCAUCAAGGCAGUUGUGUUGGGAGAAUACAUUCCUCAAACCAGGCCUUUAACAUUUAUAUCUGCUUAUUCUAUUAUGCACUUCCUGUGCAUAUUUAUCCAUCAUUAUCAGAUACAUGCAGGAGAAGUACGAAGAGACGAUGGCUUUACUCGCACAAAUGGAGAACAGGGCUGUGAUGGCAGAAACCAUGUUGGAGGCUACACUGCAGUAUCAGUCUAGCCAACUCAAAGCAGCACAACCUUCGAGUCCUUCACCAAGGUAUCCCUGUCAUUUGAUUUGCCAAGUUAAUGAUAUCUAGUAUCAUCCUUUCUGCUGUUAUAUAUGUUAUCUGGGCAAGCUAAGCUCGUCUUGACUUUAAAAUGCCAGCAAGGCGGCUAGUCAAUGCCGUGAGAGGUAGGCUUGAACUUGGCAUGGCUCAGUUCGCCACAUUAUCAAGCUCUCUCAAAAUUGGCCCAUUAGGCUUGAUAGUGAGUGACAGCAAAAAAAAGGGAAAAUGGGAGGGUAGAGGUUUUGGCCGGUGGCAGGCCCUCGUUUGAUCUUGACAAAAAAAUCACUGUCUCGAUCUGGUUCACCCUGUCGUGCAUGGAUUACCCAUAACAUCUCCCUCUGUCCCAUCUGUAUGUUCAAUUUAUACCAUCCACUAGAUUAUAACCUUUUCUGAUUUUAGAAUUCUUGUCUUUAAAAUUAUUAUUAUGGAAUAUGAAAGUAGAGAUGAGUUGGUCGGUGUGAUUGAACAGCACACUUCACUCUUUCAUGAAAUGGCUGCAUUGUUACCUUCCUCGUCCUUCUUUUUUUAUUUUCUUAUUUUUGAUUUUUUUGGUCGCAGAACUCCGACCCAGGAUCUUUCUCCUGCGCAAAUGACCCAAGACUCAUCUCUAGCUAUUCCUCCCCGAAGAAUAAGUUUGCUUUCGAGACCAUUUGGACUUGGGUGGCGCGAUAAGAACAAGGUUAGUUUGUUACUGCUUAUAUUGAUGUCUAUAAUUGUUUUUCUUAGGGACAUGAAAAUCUGAGCUACACUUUAAGAAUCCAACCAUCAAGUUAUCCGAUCCACAGCAUAUUUCUUUUAUUUAGAAUUAAACUAUAAAUUUCCUCAUUAGUUUGGUCCUGAUUUUAGUCAGCAUUUCAGAAUUAACAAGCCAGCCCCUGAAGUUCUUAAUUUGUUAAAUUUCAGUAGCUUUCACCUUUUUUUUUUUCCUCCUUCAACCGGAAAUUACCGUAUUUGUAGAAUGUUAACCAUAAUGCAUCAAAAUUUAGGGCAAACCAAGUAACUCGGAGGAGCCUGCUGAACAAAAGAACACUAGCGAUGGGGAACAGAGCGUCCAAACGCCCGAGAAAGUAAUGAAUGGACACCAAGAAGCAGAAAAAGUUGAACUUACCGAUGGAAAGUGAGAAGCACAUAAAUCUUAUGCCUCUACUCAUAUUUAUUUCAGAGGGCGUGCACAAAUUGUAAAAAUGGAUCAAAGUGUAGCGGCUCGCACCUUAGCUUGUACUAAGAGAGAGAGAGAGAGAGAGAGAGAGUGAGAGUAAUGCUUUUAUAGGUUCCUCUAAUAUUGUUGUUGUAAUUUGUGGACACAAGCAGAAGCUAAAUUAUUACUUAUUUAGUUUAUUAUCGUUAAUAAAUAUUUUUAAGUUAUGAAGAGAGAGGUAAGAUACAUUGUAGUAAUGCCACAGCUAAAUCAUUAAUUGAUUGCGUUAUUCUUUGCUCUGAAGGAAGUGGCUGUUGUUGUCGUUUUUUUUGGUUCUUUUUUGUCUCGUGGUUGUUUCGGAAUAAAACGUGGAUAUCAGUCAUUAUUUAGCUAAUAACUAAAUGCUUUUGCUCUAUAGAUUGUUUAGCUAAUUACUAAAUGCUUUUGCUCUAUAGAAAUUUUUUUUUUCCCUCCUUUAAAUUACUUCGUGUUGGAUCUUCUUCUCUCGUCGACACCCAUCUGAGUCAAUAGGUCUCCGUGGGAAAACAAAUUGAGAAAAAAAAAGGAAAGUAAAAAUAAGAAAAGAGGGGGCGAGGAGAGAGAGAAAGAAAGAAUAGUUUACAGAGAAAGAAACAAAAGGUUGGGUGGGGAAUGGGAGAAAGAAAAGAGAGAGAAAGAAUAGUCUACAGAGCUUCAGCCUCAGCUGUUACUAACAUCCUGAAACAGUAAGAAAUUAUACAUAUUACCAGCAAUAUUCAUACAACAAAAAAGAAAAAAAGAAAAAAAAUCAAAGUUUCUCUGUCACUUGUAGUAAUAUUCACUUGUAGAAAUAUUCAACAUAAAGAUCUCUAGCUUACUAAUGUGACAUUUAAGAGGAAUAGAUGAUAAAAAGCUAACCAGUGUUUGUCAAAUAUACUGUAACAAAUUCUCUUUGCUACAAAUAUGGAAAUUAUUUGCCCUCUGGCGACAAUCCUUUGUAUAGAAAACAUACUUUAUGAGGUAUGUUAACAACUCCCAUAUUGUUAGAGAUAUGUGGGAUAAGUUAGAGGUUUUUUUUUUUUACCUCUUUUUUAUUUUUCUUUCUCUUCAUCUGUUCUUAUCCUCAUGGGUUAGCAAGCGAGGUUCUGAGGGAACUGGAUUCAUUCUUCUUGGUCGGCAUUCCGUGGUUAUGCUCGCCCUCGUACGUUGUCACGAACGAGGCCGAAUCAUCCGACGCUCUCUCGACGUACUUUCGCACGUUGCAUUUUGGACUGGUGCAUCUGUAGUAGCUUCUGCCAAAAAUAACAUUAAAACAGAAGGAAGAUGAGCUAGUUCAUUCAUUCUUUAGGAUGAUCGAAAGAUUACAGUUUACUUAUUCCUAAUAAAAGAAAUAGACCCUUAUCAUUUCCUCAACUGGAAUUGCCAAGUUCAUAUGUACUGUUCCAGAUGUAGUAACUACUUACACAACUAUUUUGUAUACAAUCUUGAUGACAGUAAAUACUUUCGUCAGUAAACUCUCGCUGUAAACGAGAAACGAAUGAUAAUACGUUUACCUCGGAUACGAAUUUCCCUUUACGACCUUCUGCCCGUAUUUUCUCCAAUGAAAGCCGUCUCCUGAGACGUCGGAUUCCACCAAAUUUUGCGCCGCAGAAUGAGGCUCGACAAAAGCUGCUGCUGCGCUGCCUCCGCUUAACUGAUCAUCCUUCUUCCUGAUAGAAUAAAGAGCUCAUUAAGCAUGACAUGUUUUUCCAACAUAAACUAGUUAGAAGAGAAGGGGAAAAGAAAAACGAAUUCGAAUGAAAACAAUUCUACUUUGACAUACCUUCUCUUGUAAUCAGGUUUAUCUUUACUAAACCCUGCUGUUGCUCCUCCAAGCUCACUGCUAUUCUCACCAAUUUUGAAAUCGCCAUGAAACCCGUCAGAACUUGAAGAACUAUUUGGGAGAUAAACAUGCCCAUGAUAAUUCUUAAUCCCGCGAAAACCCUCAUCAACUUUGUUCUCCAAUCUUAAAGCAUGUGAACUAUUCUCCUCAACCACAGGAUUAUUACCACAUUGUGUAUUGCCACUCUCUUUUCCACACUCAGUAGAGCUAGAGCCUUGCCUUUGAGUACCCAACAGUAAUUUCUUCGAAGAUUGCGGCUUAGGAUGAUUGUGCUCACCGGUAUACACGAUUUCAGUUACUUGCCCAUCGAGCGAUCUCUCCACCUUCUUUCUCACCGGGCAGUUUGGGUGCGUGCAUUUGUAGUAACUUCGCGGAAAUUCGCUUCCUUUCACUUGCUUUUGCCCGUACUUUCGCCAGUUAUAACCGUCAUAAGAAAUUCGAUCCGCGCCAUUGCUAGGUUGUUGCACAUUUUCUUGUUCAAUAUUGCGCGGAACAAAAUUCGACGGAUCGGAGAUUUGGUACAUACUGAUAUCCACUUGCGCAGUUGAAUUGCCGUGGGGAUUUUGAUUUAUAUGUUCAGAAAUUUGAACUGGGGCCGGUUUUUCUGUCGCCACUUGUUGAUGGGUUGCAUCAAAGUUUCCCUGAUCGCGUAAUAAACCAUUAACCAAAGUGAGAUUUUACGAAGAGGGUUCAACUGAUCAAGAUCGUCUGAAACUUUCGAGACCGAGAAAUUAAGGCGCGAAGAACAAUACUCACCAAAUUGGCCAAGAACGAAGCGAUGUUUUUCGACACUGCUUUUGCCGUAGGUUUGUAUAAGAUAGCUGCCGAUUUGGAUUCCGAUUUUAGAGUAACAACAGAUGCCUUGUCGGACAAAUGAUUACAGACACCUGAAUCUGAUGCAUCAUCCUGCAAAAAUUUUACUACUAUAUGUCAAAGUGAUCAAAUCUGCAAAUCUAUUUAAACUUGAAAGCUGUUUUUUUGAAGAAUCAUCGAUGGCUUUUUUGUUAAAAUCGUCAGUACAGCAGCUAGCUUUUGCUUUUGGGACCCGAAAACUUAAUAUAGUUCGCUCCACAACAAAAGCUCCAAAAUUAUCGUUUAGCCUGUAUAACCUAUUUCGAGAAGCUUCUGCUUCUUUCUAGAGUAGAGAAGCUGUUCUACAAGCCAAAAGCAACAGGCAUCCAAGUAUGUCUGAAACGGGAAAAAAAAAAAACAAAUUAAAGACCCAUCAACCUUACCAUGGAUGUUGAAAUUGCAGCUGAGGAUUCUCUCUGAUGGGUUACAGGUCUCAGACUCUUAGGUCUAAUUGCAACUGCUGUAUCAGAAAGAGUAGUUGUGGGAGAAGCACUUGUGGAGCCAGGAAGUACUUCUGAGAAGUACCUGGAGCUUGAAAAGGGUCUUGAAGCCACAGGCUUAGAAACAACAAUCUUCUGAGUUUCUUGCAUUUCCUCCCCCCCCCAACCAAUAACUUGUUACUUGUCCUCCUUUUUCUCUUCCUCACAUUCUAUUGUAUAUGGUAACUUCACAUAAUUAAUUUGUCAAUGAACUUUAACCAAAGAAUACUAUCAUGGCUUUUUCUUUCUUUCUUUCUUUUUUUCUUUACUUUAUGGUACUGCAAGAUCAUUACCUGAUAAUGAGAAGGCCCAGAUGUGUUGUUUGUUCACUAGUCCUGAAAAAUCCAAAAGGAAAAAAACAAAGGAAAAGAGAUUUGUUUACUCAGAGACAGCAUGCUGAAAUAAUACUGCAAGUAGAUUAAAAUUGAACAAAACACAUGUAUCUUAGCAUGACUAAAGAGGAGAGGUAUAUAAAAAAAAAAAGAAAAUAAAUAUAAAACCAUUUAUAAUUCUCUGGAGCCAUCAAUUGCUCCCCAUCAAAAAAGAGUAAACACUGAUUCAAGCUUUGUCUCAAAAAUUUUAAAAUAAAAAUAAACUGCUACUCAACUAUCCAAUUAAACCAUAACCCAGUAAGUUAAAAAGUUCAAAGAAGCAAUUUUUGGCUCUCUCUCUCUCUCUCUCUCUCUCUCUCUCUCUGUUCACAAUAAAAUUAUACAUGUCUAACCAUAAAAUUGUAAAAAUUAGCCUUCUAAGUUACAUAAUCUAACUUAAGUGACAAACACAUACAUAUUCACUACUAACCUUCAAAAUUAUAUAUAUAAAAAAAGCUUAAAAAAGCUUAAGAAAGCUUGAAAAAUGUUAAAAAAAAGGGAAACAAAUCGAAGGCUUACUCACCAAUGAAUCGAGUUGAAAAUGCAGGAACAGGAAGAAGAAGAAGAACAACAACAACAACUAGGGGGCUCGCGCACGUGCUGAUCACGUGCCCAACCCCUUGUGAAGAAUGGUAGUUGAACUCAGAUGGCGUACACCAAAAUGUACCCAACCUCAUGCGUUAAACUGCAAUGUCUAUAAUAAUUGUGGGAAUCGGAAAAUUUGUCGGUGCACAUACGGGUACCCGUAGCAAUGCCCUUGUUGAGACUAACGCAGAGAAAACGCUUGGCGUACCCAGAAUUUACCCCUAUUUAUAGACGUAGGAAAUGUCGACACUGAGUCAUUAUAACUCGUAUCGAAUAUUGGCUUUCGCUUUGGGUUUCUUUUUGGAGGAACGCAUGGGGGACGAUGAGCGUUCCCCGUAACAAAAUGCCAGUUUCCAACCAAGACCGUUAGGUUUUAAAAAUAAAUAAAUAAAUAAAUAAUAUAUUUAAAUCAGAUACUCCGUUAUAAAAGAUAAAUUUAAAUAUUUCUCGCCUUUUAUUAAAUAAUACGAAAUAAAUUUUAUUCUCUAUAAAACCUUAAACAUGUAGAGAACGGUAUUUAAAUAUUUUUUAAGACUUUUCGCUAAGUCUAUAACGUGAACUAGAAUUAAAUAAAAAAAAUAAAUAAUAUUAGAAGCUUAACAUGACUUGAAUUAAUAAUCUUCUCCUCCAAUAUCAUGUUAAAUAAAUAAUACAAAACAAUCGUUAUUCUCUAUUAGGCAGCGUUUGGUUAGGGGAUAGGGAUAGGAAUAAGCCCUUAUCCCUUCCUUUAUAUCCAAACGCUAAUUAAUUUUUUACCCGAGAAUAGUAGUUCUCCGUUAUCCCAACCAACACCUCCAUUUUUUAUAUAAGACUACCUAAAAUUAUUCUUAUCCCCGGAAACAACUCAAUUUUCAUCCAAACACUAUUUUUCUUAUCUCCAUACUUGUAUCUAUUCCUGUAAUAGCUAGUUCUUACUUAUAUCCGAAUCAAACGGUAAAAGUUUAAAUUUGCAGUGGUAUAUUUUACUCAUAUUAUUAUUAUUAUUAUUAAUCUUUUAUAAUCAGACACAAAAAUUUGUGGGCUCGUGAUUAUUCUUUUACGAUCUCUCUCGAAUCAUUUAUGAGAUGUCGUCUGCAACUCUAGCCCUAAUAAAAGAAGGCCCUGAAGCAGCUUCAUUGCAUGAAUAUUUGGAUAGGUUGAUGCGCACGCAUUUUAAGGAAUGACGUGGGGUGAUACAUAUUAAUUUGGACGUGCUUUUACUAAAAAGGUGCAUAUGGUGCUGCGAACGAUGCGGAUACGUACGGGAGAAAAGGACGCUCAAUUACGUACAGAGACCAGCGACGGAGUUAGGUGGGAAAAAUUGUUUGGUGGAGAAAAAGUGUGACACUGUAACCUCAUAUGCGUUUAUUCCAUAUAUUAGAACUAAUAAAAUGUUUAAUCAAAAUUUUUAUUUAAGAUAAAUAUAUAUAAAGUUUUAAAAUUUUAUGUGAAAAUAUUAUUAUUAUUGUUAUUAUUUUUUAUGUGAAGAGAUAUUUGAAACGUAGAUAAACUGCACAUGGGAUGUAGAAAGAGUUAAAGAAAAAAGUGUGGGGCCAAAGGCUUUUACCGCAACGAAUGGUCCACGAGUGGAACGUUAGAUGAAUAGACCCACCGCACACGUGAUCUAACUCAAUACUAUAAAAAGAACCAAAAAAAAAAGUAGAUGAAAAAUAUGGUAACAUUAACGGAUCUAAUUUGAUUAAAUUUUAUAGUAAGUAAAUAAUAAGGAGACUCAAUAAACGCCACAUUAAUUCUUCAGAAACUUCCUCCUCCAGUAACAGUUAAGUAAUGUCAACUACACAUGCAAUGCUUCAAAUAUAGUUAUCAUUGCCUUGAGUUUUCCACCAAAACAAUCCUUCCAAGGCCUAAUAAUUUUAACAAAACACAAUUAUAGAGCAAAUUUUCGGUUUUUCGCUCCGCCCAAAACAUACGAUUAGGCCAGAUUAUGCCAUCAGGAAGCCACAGCAAUAUAGUUAAGUAGCAAUUAUCUUAUCUAACUGUGCUUAGAGAGAAUUGACUCGACUACCCCGCGAGCUAUGGGGUGGUAACACUCGCGACCCUCCAUGAAUAUCCUCCUCGCGAGCAUCUUCUCCUCGUCGCCGCCGGACCCGCUAACCAGGGCGGUGUAGAGGGGGCGGAGGUACUUCAUUCGUCCCACUUGCUUUAGAGUUUUCUCGACCUCGUCAAAGUAGUCCUUGCAGUUGCAUGAGAUCGCCAGCUCGAGGAACGCCACCUUCACUUCGUAGUCACGGCUCUCCGAUAGCCGGUACCGCGCGUCGAGGGCUGCAAUCUGCAUGAAUGGAUGAUGGAAAGAUUACAAACAUAUCACUGAGAAAAUCUGAGUUUUUUGCUGUAUAUGCACCUUAAGUAAGAUAAUCACAUAAAAAGAUCUCCUCUGCUAAAAACACAGGUCAAUUUGGGAAAAGAGAAGCUUCGAGACAUCGAAGAUCCUACUAUGCCUGCACUUGGGAUAUUUAAACCCAAAAUAGAAGUAUGAGAUGCAACUCUGAAAGUAGAUAUUGGAAUGAAAAUAGAAUUCGGAAACAAGGUUAUUAAUGAACAUAUACUGUUCAUGAUUCUUAUAGAAGAAUAUGUUUUUUAGGAGGCGAAUGAGAGAGAAGCUGGAUAAAGGUGCUUGCAAACAAAGGUACAGAGAUGCUUUGAGGUGAUGUAAUGAUUUGAGGUGGUGUUAGUGUUAUCAUAAUGCCACAAAGGGGGCCACAAAUAUUAAAGAUGAGGAAAGAAAAUGCACACAGACUAAUAAAAUUUGAUUUGUAAAGUAAAGAAAAGAACAAAUACCGCACUAUGGACUAGUCAAAAGGUUAUAAGAGAGAGCACUGAAAAGCAAUGGAUUAUAGACAGAUUCUGAUAUUAGAUGAAAUGCAAAGUGAAGUGUUAAGACAAAGCAAGAGAACAAGAUAAAGAGAUAAACUGACGGGACGAUAAGAGUGAAAUAAAAUUACAAAUGAUAACAAGAAUUGAGAUUUAUAAAUUGCGCAAUCCAAAAGUAUGUGCAUCAAUAUACUUGUAUGUAAUGAGUAAGUUACUAUUCACAUGCUCCCAAUUCAGAACAACUGCAAACUGAUGAUUGCUCAAGAUAUUAAAGGAUUAUAUUCUCAAAAAAGGAUAUCAUUAGAAUCUGAUUCUAGAUGCAAAGAAAUGAUGAGACAAAGUACGAGGACUAUGCGAAGCAAUAAACAGGUGGCAAGAUAAAAAGCAGAAUGAGACUUCACAUGAGACUUAGAAUAAAUUGUAAAUGGGUUAGUUACAAAAUCAAUCUUUGAAAUUGACUCGCAUUCCAAUUUCGUCCGCAGAUUUUCAAUCACACAAAUUUAGACCCUGAAGUUCAACCCUGAUUUCAACACCCUCCUUUGAGUUUCAAUUUGAUCCCCAAAGUGCAGAUCUCUGCUUCAAUUUCGUCUCUGAAGUCACUCGCAUGAUACUUUUUUAUACAGUAAACUACUAGAGAACAAACUUUAAGGACCAAAUUAUUACACAGUUGAAACCAUUGGGGAUGAAAUUAAAAUCAAGGCCAAAGUUCGGAGCUAAAUGUAAUUAACCCGCCUUUUAUUGUGUAAUUAUAAGUAUGUCCUAAUGAUUUAAGUCACAAUUCACACAUCCAAAUACACAACAAGUGCAAAUUAUUGAUUAUGCAAGACAAGAUAAUGGAAAAUACUAAUUCCAGAAAAAGGACAUAAAUUUAACCUGCGAGGCUUCAACAGAUUUGGGCAGAUUCUCCAAGUAAAGCUCCCACUCCUGUCCGCUCCAAUCUGCCACCUCGUCCUCUCUCGGCAUCCUCCCAUUCUUAAACUCCGAAGCCAACAACUUGAUUUUGGUAUAAAUUACCGAAACGGGCUCCAUAGCAUCUGGUGGAAUCCCUGUGCCUUCUACCCACAAACGAAGAUCAAUUUGAUUCUCUAUUCCCGGCACAUUGGCCUUUAGGAAUUCAAGAAAUGUUUCAGUGUCGAUCGACUGGAACUUGAAAGUAGCAAUGUACUUCUUCAGGAAUUCAUCAAACGCUAGGCGCCCAAUCUAAGAAUUCGGACAGAGAAGGCAAGAAAAUUACAACAGAAGUUAAGAGUAUCUAACUGCUAGUCUGGCCUAACUUCUUGAAAAGCUUCACUACUCUAGAAAGCAGAAGCUUCUGGGAUUCAGGAGCUUGGCUAACAAAAGUCUAGAACUUUGUUGUGGUGAGAAGCUAAAAUGCACUUUUGGACCCCAAAGGAUUAUGCUUCAGUUGUAACUAGAAGCUAAUUGAGGAGAUUUUGACGGAAAGGAAAUUAGUGCUUCUACAAACAGCAUACUCGAACAACAUUUCUGUAGGAGCUCCGCUGGAUCAAAUAAGCCACAAGUGUACAAUUGACCUGUGGCUUCUAAAGCAGCUUCUUUGGUGUCUGCAAACAAAAGUUCAGGAGCUUCCAAUAAACGGAAAUGAGACUUUUGGGCCUGCUUCAACUAGAAGCCUUUUAGCUUCCCGCUUGAGCAAGAAGCUGUUGGGAAAAUUUUGAGGGGGAAAAAAAAAUUCAAGUCUUAUACAAACAGUCCUACUCAUGGAACACUUCAACAAAAGCUCAACCAGACCAAACGGAAUGCGUAAGUUGGAAGGUCCAGAAAUAUAACGAGCAAUGUUUUCUUUUAUAUUUUUCACCUGCCGUUCAAUUCGCCAGAGAAAUUGGAAUCCUUUCUCAUAGGGCACUUCCGAGUAGACAUCAUCUGGGUCAAUCCCUUCCAUUCUCGGCUUCAGUUUCGUAAAUUCCAUGUUGUCCUUGAACCUGUCCAUCAUUCUGUUCAAACCCCUCCACCCAAUGCCCAUGUUAAGAGCGGCCCGCUCCUCUCCCUGCACCACCUCCACUAUUCUCCUUUCUGCAUACGUCGUGAAACCCUAACAGGCAUUUCAAUGGAAAAUUGAUGAGUAUUGGUAAAAAGAAUACAGGGUACAGUGUAGAAAUAAACCCUGUACUAUCCGGAUUUUGCAAUUUAUACCCUGAGCUUGAAACUUAAACACAUAUGCCCCUGAAUUUCUACCAUCACAUACUGCAGUUCCAACCCUGCCCGUCAAAAAAGUUGAUGUUUUUUUCGAGUUAAAAUGACUAGCAUAAUACUAUUAAAUUACUUGUUUUAAUGCACUCAAAACACGGUUGAUCAAAGCCAUUCUAUGAAAAAAAAAAAAAAAAACCAAUUCUUUUCAGAUCUUUUUAGCAACAAAGGAUAGAAUUGUACGCUCGGAGAGAAAUAGAGAAAAGGAAAGAUCCAAACAUUGACUGGGGUAGAAACAUGGAAAACCCUAACCUCGUUGAGCCAGAAAUCGGAGUGGGUCUUGUUGGUGAUGAGGUUCCCGGUCCAGCUGUGCGCGAGCUCGUGCGCGACCACCUGCGCCCCGGAGGCGUCCCCCUUGAUCACCGUCGGGGUGAGGAACACCAUCCGAGGGUUCUCCAUCCCGCCGUAGGGGAAGCUCGGGGGGAGCACCAAAAGGUCGAACCUUUCCCACUCGUAGGGCCCGAAGAGGCGCUCCCCGACCCGGAUCAUCUCCUCCGCCCCGGCGAACUCCCUAGCGGCGGCGUCGAGCACGUCGGGCCCGCCCUCCACGUAGACGCGCGUCCGCGGGCCCACGUCGCGCGACGCGAUCUCCCCGGCAGCGAAGGCGAAGAGGUAGGGGGGGAUGGGCUGGUCCAUGACGAAGUGCUCGACGACGCGGUCGGGGGCGCACCAGAGGGCGUCGGGGCAGGCGGCGGAGGCGGCCUCGCCGGGGAGGGGGUCGCGGCGGGCGAGGUGGGCGGCGGCCAUGACGGCGGAGAGGGGCUUGGGGAGGUUGAGGAGGGCGGAGAAGCGGAUGCGGGCGGCGGGGGUGUCGUGGCAGGGGAAGAUGGAGCGGGCGUGGAUGGGCUGGCACUGGGUGAAGACGAAGGGGUGGGCUCGGGAGGAGGUGAGGGGAGGGGGGAGCCAUUGGAGGGCGGAGGAGGAGGGGGAGGUGGAGAAGGAGAGGAGGAAGGACGAGUGGCCGGAGAGGGAGACGGAGAGCGGGGAGCCGAGUACGGGGUCGGACUCGUGCGCGGGGACGGGGAGGGAGAAGGGGAGCGGGGAGAGCGUGAGGGGGUCGGAGGCGGCGGCGACGGAGAGGAGCCGGGUGUCGAGGAGGAGGUCGCCGGAGAAGGGCGCGGAGAGGGUGAGCAGCGCCGACCCCAGGAUGGUCGACGACGAGAAGUCCAGGUACAGGGACAGCGCCGCCGACGUCACCAGCGGCUGCGACGCGUCCGCAUACGAAUGCGGGUCUAUGCGGCCCAUUGCCUCUCUGAUGUAUGACGAGGACUAGAGACUAGAGAGAGAGAGAUAGAGAUCAAAGAUGUAUGCGACCGAGACCCAGUGGGGACGCUUCGGUUCGUUUUGGCGUUGUAUCUACCUAUAUAUGUACACACAUGCGGGCGCGCGCACCCAGAGAAGAAGUCGAGAAACAUGUGGGGACCCACUGAGUGUUCGGAAAUGUUGCCCGCACCUGGUGCACCCCGUCACCCGUGGACCGCCAAAUUGUCCUUUCGAUGCAUCUUAAUUUACUCUUUCAAAUUUGCAGGCGAUAGGACCAAAUGCCGAAAAAGCAUUGAGCAAGCUGUGGCUGCUUUUGCAUAAAGAAACUUUCUAUUAAAAAUAAAUAAAUAAAUAAAUUUGGAAAGAUGCUUGAAAAUGAAAUAACCAGGUGCAUAAUGAUAUUUUUUUUUCUUUUUUUUUUUUUUUUUUUUUUGAGAGAGAGAGGUAGCACGCUACCCGCUUCAUUUAGUUCAUUUAGAAAUAAACUUAGCUGAAAAUAUGAAUCAACUAGAAUUCGAAUUUGGAUCUCGGGUACCAACCACCAAACCUUUUGCCACUUUCUCUAUGGACGGUCGGUAGGUGCAUAAUGAUAUCGAUGAGACUUUACGAAGAUUUGCUAUAUGUGAUGUAUCUUAGGAAAUCUUAAAUAGACGAAUACAUUCUAAGAAUUCAUAAUAUGCAAACGUUAAGGUGCCCAAGCACUGUUCAUUUUUAACCAUCUCGCAAAGACUCUCCAGAAUUAGGAUAUAGUAAGGAAACAAGAAGGUAUUAUUAUUAUUAUCCAGGUAAAACAGCAGGAUCUAUUGGCUCCUCAUAGAUGAACUUACAUAUACAUUUGGAGCUUUCAAUCUCAUUCGAAUUUGAUCACCUGUUUCGGAUGGCUUCCUAGUUUUCCAAGAGCCUUAUCGAGUGCCGUGUUGAAAUCCUCGAAAGGAACCAUUUCCAUACUGCGAUAAAAUGCCUCGAUUAAUCAGUUUCAUCGCAAUAAAGUAAACAGCAAGUUCGAAUUGUAGCAUAAUAGAUAUAAGCUAAACAACACGAUCGGAUUAAUCUACAAGUUGUCCUUAAGCACUCCAAUAACCGCAUUUUGGUCUCUUAUCAUUCACGUAAACAGGUUAGCCCCUAGACUAACCAAAAUUCGUUCCAUCCAAAAUUUCUAAUAUUUGUUUGUUGUUUCAAACUGCUAGCAAAAGAUAGAGAUUUCGGAUGACAAAUCAAGCUACAGAUGACACUGCAAGAAAUUAUGGAAGUUCAGGGAUUGAUUUGUCUAAAGCAAAAGAAUAGGGACCAAAUUGGCAUUCGUUGAAAGCUUACGAACUACCAGCACAUUUUACCCUAAAAUAUUUUUUCUGGUUUAGUAUGGAGGGGAUUGAUAAAACAUACUCAUAUUUCAGCUUGCCAUGGUGGACUAAGCUCAAGAGGUAAUCUAUCAUAGUUUGGCAAUCUUUUGCCUUGUCGGAACUCAUCCACUUCUGCAACCAAAACCCUCGCAGAGAGAGAUCCUGAAGGAAAAAAACAAAUUUUGAAUCACAUAGUCUACAUGCUGAUCCAAAUUGCAACUUAAACACGAGUAACUUAAGACGAUUGUUGGGAUAACAAACAAUUUAGUUGCAUAGAAAACGGUAAUGGACCUGACCUUAAAUAUAAAGGAUGAAGUAGAUACAGUGAUAGGCUUCUUCGACAUCCCACCAUAUGUUACCAUAGUGCCCCCCUGCCUGGAACAUUAGAAACUGCAUAGCUUUAUUCUUAAUAGAUAAAGAAGAAAUAUUACCUGAGACAAAUAUUUCCGAUUGAUCUAAGUUACCUCAGGAACUUUAGGACCAAGGAAGCCGCAUUUCCCCCAACACAGUUAAAUCCUAAGGCAGGUUCUGGUAUGUCAACCUAGAAAUAAGAAAAGAAUAAAGGAUAGACAAAAGUAAGAUUGGCGGAAAGUGUACAUUGGACAUUCAAGCCCUUUACUUCCAUGAUAUUGCAACUUAAUCCAUGGAAUUUUCACUUGAACAAUUUAGCCCAUGAAUAUGCCAUUUAAGUUAGAAGUUGAAGGGACUAAGUUGUGAUAUGACAGAAGUACAAUGACGUUGCACAAAUUUCUGCUCAAAAACAGGGGAAAGUGAUGCUACUAUUUACUAAUUAAAGACACCGGAAAUAACUAUAUCCAGGUAUACAAAAAGCCAAAUAUAUCCAGGUAUACAAAAAGCCAAAUAGGAACUCUUAUGUCAACUCUAUGUAGAAAACAGGGAAACAAAAUAGCUACAAGCCAGUCCCACAAAUUAUUUAUAAUCAAAAGAAUUGCUACCAGGAGGCUCUUAACAUUCUUCACUUCCAACUGGCUCUCCAUAUACACCUCACCCGCACCAAGUUUCUUUAGUCUCUCUUUAACUUCUUCUGAUUCAACUCUAGAGGUAUAUACAAUACAAAGAAAAAGAUUAGUAAGUUAUCACUAACGGAUAGAAAUUGGUUGAAGUUCAUAAAAUAUGCAAACUCAAAAAGUUUCAAACUUAGCACCUGUCUCUAAUGAUAUUUAUGCUAUGCACUCCCUGGAUUUUAGCUAGCUGGAUAAUGCACUGCCCAACAAUACUAGUGGCACCAUUUUGGACAAUACUGUCGCCUGAUCAAGUCCACUAGAUUAUUAGCAACAAAAAACACAUCUGUCAAUUAAAGGAAAUGUUUUUAAUUAUAAAAAGCACCCGAAUUCAGUUUCACGAAGUCUUCUAGCAUUCUCAGUGCAGUCAAAGGAUUCACUGUAACAGUCGCAGCAUACUCCACUGGUACAUCCUUCCUGAUUUUGUGCCAGACACCCUCUUCUUUCACAAUGUAAGUUUGCCAUGUUCCUGAGUAGGACAUAUAUUCCCCAUUUUGUGAGAACUAUAGAAUGGGCAUAGAAUUAGUUUCCAUCAACGGCCAUAAAAGGAUUAUGCAAGACAAAAAGGCAAAAUUGCAGAAAAACCUUGCACAAAUCAUUAUUUUUCAUUUUCGCCCGAAGAAUAGUGAACACAUAUAUUACCCCUUUAAAGUGCAACUCCAUUGUUUGUAGUGUACUAUUGCUUUGCUAAUACAUAAUGGAUCAAUGGAAUAAAAUGUAGAUUUUAUUGCUUCAAGGGGCAAUGGAAAAUUUAUGAUAUGUUUCAGGGAUUUUCUGAAACUUAGUUACUACAGAGAUUUCUUUAACGAAAGUGAUAGAUGUACAUCUAUGAAAUAAGUAACUAAAAUACCAAAAGAUGGAGGUGAUGGUAUGACCCAGUCGCCAACUGAGAGACUGCUAACUGCAGACCCCAAUGCAUAUACUUCCCCAACUCCUUCAUAUCCUCCAAUCGCAGGCACUGGAGGCCUUACAGGAUAAACCCCUACAAGGAGGGAAAAAUAAUAAUAAUACAAGGAAAAAAAAUGAGAUACCAGAUAUGGAGGUAGUGAAGCUCUUAAGAUCUAUAUCUUAUGUUGUAGAAAUUAUGUGACAAAAAAUUAAAAAUAAAUUUGUAUAGACUGCUAUUUAGGCGGCAGAGAAUAAAUUAUCAUAACAAGUAUUCAUUUGAUAGAACCACAUUGAUACAACAUACUUCCUUGUAUCUGUCAACCAUGUGCAACCCAUUUAGUGUGUUUGAAAAUUUUUUUUUUUUCAUUGGGCCUAAUAGGAUGCUAAAAUUAAUUGUAUGAUGAUAAGUUGUAUUAGAUGGGAGAUAAAGUUUUGUUGUUAAUUUCAAUUUUUUCCGGAUUUUUAACUCCAACCACAAAAUGAUAUGUGAUAUCCUACAAAAUUGGAUACCUUAACCUGUUUGCUCACUUGUGGGCAUUGGCAUUAUAUCUCCCAAAAAACCAACAAUAAAAAGCCCCGUGAAUAAGCUUCUCAAAAGAGGGGGGAAAAAAGUCCCCAUAAUAAUAUUGGGAAAAAUAUUCUAAACAUUCAAGAGAAAAAAGAAUCAUUCAUCCGAACAAAAAGGAACUUUUCGAGAAAUUAGAACGAAUUAAAAAAACAUAAAAUGUGCAAAAAAAUAAAAUAAAAACAUAAGGCAGCAUGUUCUUACAGCAACCCAAAAAUGAUUUCCUAAGCUCCAAGCGAACAACAAAUUAAAUGUGAAAAACGAAAAAAGAAACUACUGCUAGAAGUAGAGCUAUAAGGAAUCGAACCUUCUACUCUAUUGAUAUCCGAAGGAUUGAUCGGCGCAGCCAACAUUUUGACACACACAUCGUUUGCUUUCAAUUCAACAGGUGGAAGGUCAAUAACCCUACAAAAUUUUGUUGAUAAUCGCUUGUUCAGUGACAAGUACAAAAUAUCUCAUGCAUCCACACUUUCAAAUACUCAUUUCAGCGAGCCUCAGGCUCCGGCAAAAACAAUAAUGCUGAGUUGAGAAGCAGAAGCUCAAAUUUGGAGCUUCCCCUACUAAGACCCUCGAGGGUGAUGCAAAUCAAGUUGCUACUGCUUCUCCAAACAGCACUUCUCGAGAAGACACGAUCUCACUACGAGAAGAGAAUUAAAAAAAAGCUAGGGUUCCGCGCAAUACCUAGUGACCUGAUCGGGGGCGCCGUGUUGCUCGUACACGACGGCCUUGGAGGGAGGGGAGAGAGGCGCGGUGGAGAAGGACGCGCGGAAGGUGUUCGACGAAAUGCGCGAGAGAGAUUGGGUCGGUCGUUUAUAUAGCCCCAGCCCUAGACACCUCAGAGACGGUCGCAGAGAAGCCAUUAUGCGGUCUCCGGUGAGCGGCGGAGGAGCGCGGCUCCGUGGAGUCGGAGAUCGACUCGCCUAGUGGCGAAAUUAGACGCAAGCGUUUAUUUCCUUCCUAUUUUAUCCCUCGGAGUCGGAUGUUGACAUUUACAAGUUUGUCCUUCUAAUUUGAGAACAUUGUAGUGGCGGUCCAUCUACCAUGGGCCGGUAGGGCUGGCAAAUGAACGAGCCCGCCCGUGUUUGACUCGCAUUCAGCUCGGUAUUCAGUUCGGGCGAGUUCAACUUAAAAUUAAAUGAGCCCAUGUUGACCAAAAAAAAAUUUCAAAGUUUAUUUCAAGUCGAGCUUAAGUAUUAUUAGGCUCACGCGAAUUAGGCAAACUCAAAAAGCUCCAACAUAAUUAAAAAUAUUUAUAAAUAUGCAUAAUUAUAUAUAAUAUAUAUUUUAAUGCGUAAAGCUACUAUAUUAUCGGAUGUAUAGAGAAUUUGAUAUUUUCGAUUUUUUCAUCCUUGGAUCAAAAUUUGUACAGUUGGGAUGAUUGCGGCUCCCCUAGGAUUGAGUAGUACCCCUAGGGUUGAAUGGCCACUAUAGGAUAAUAGUAUUAAUUCAAAUGUUAGAAAUGAUUAAAUCGACUGAUCUAAGAGCCAAAAAGUCGAAAGCACUAUAUCCUCUAUGCUUUUGAUAGCAUAGUAGAUUUACUCGAUUUUAAUUAUAUAUAAAAUUAUAUAUAUUAGAGGCCCACAAAAUUAAUAUAGCAAAACCCUACUCUAAUUACUCUUUCUUCCUCUCUUUCACUUGCUCACAUAGUCACUUUUUCUCAAUUAUUUUUCUUAAUAUUCUAAUAUUGUAUUCGUGCAUUUAUUUUGUAUGUUAAAUUAUUAGACAUAUUUUUGUCUCAAAUUUUAAAUAAUUUUUAUAAAAAUUAAAGGCCUUUUUGCAUAAAAAAUCCACUUAUUUUGGGCUUUUGCAAAAUCGGGUCACUUUUUUCGUUUUUGCAGAUUCGGUCCGUUUUUCCAGUAAACUGACCAAAAUACCCAUAUUACUUUUUCUCUUUCCUCUUUCUCUCUCCUCUUCGUUUCUUCCGUUCUCUUUUUUUUUUCGUCGAGCCCGCCGCCGAGCCCCUCCUCCUCUCCCCGGCCGCCGCCGCCGAGCCCACCCCCACCGUCGUCUCCGUCGCCGUCGCCGUCGCCGAGCCCACGUCCCGCCCCUUGCCGACCGCCUCGUCACCCUCCAAUCGCCUCGUCACUCCCCUUGCUGAGCCCUCGUCACCCCCACCGUCGUCUCCGUCGUCGUCACCGUCGUCUCCGUUACCGUCGCCAAGCCCACGCCCCAUUAAUGGUGUAAUGGUGCAAUGGUGCACCAUUACACUAAUGGUGCAUCAUUGUUACACCAUUACCAUUAAUGGUGUAAUGGUGCACCAUUACACCAUUAAUGGUGUAAUGGUGCAAUGGUGCACCAUUACACUAAUGGUGCAAUGGUGCACCAUUACACCAUUACACCAUGAAAUUACACCAUUAAUGGUGUAAUUGUGCACCAUUACACUAUGAAGAAGAAGAAGAAGCAGCCGCAACGCGCCUGCGUGCCAGCCCGCUGCCGCUGCGUGCACCGGCCCCGCCACCGACCCGGCCCCGCACCGCGGCUGCGCGCCCCGCGCCAGGAGCAGCCCGCGAUCAGCGCCUCCCCCGCCGCCGCCGACGCCUCAAGCGGCGUCGUCGGCCCGCGGCCCGGGGGCUCGACGUUGGCGCUGAACUCCAGCAGCAGCUGGACGAGGUCCGGCCGGCCUUGCGCGAUGGCCGAGUGCAGCAGGCCGACGCCGGACGCGUCGACGGCGUCGGCCGGGCGCCAAUCCGGGUCGCUCCGCUCCAGCCGCCGGCGACGAACUCCGCAGCCUCUUCCUCCGCCGCGCCGCCGACAGCGACGACGACCGCGGCGGCGGACGAGGGGCUCGGCGACGGAGACGACGGUGACGGCGGCCAUGGGGCCGCCGCCGCCAUGGCCGUGGGCUCGGCGACGGCGACGGAGACGACGGUGGGGGUGGACUCGGCGGCAGCGACGGGGGAAAGGAGGAGGGGUCGUGGGCGGUGGAGAGGAGGGUGAGGAGGGAGGCAACGGUGAAGAAGGAGGGUGAGGAGGGAGGCGAUGGUCCGAUCCGCCUCUUUUUUUUCGGCGAGAAAAAAAAAAGAACGACAGAAACGAAGAGGAGAGAGAAAGAGGAAAGAGAAAAAGUAAUAAAGGUAUUUUGGUCAGUUUGCUGAAAAAGCGGACUGAAUCUGCAAAAACGAAAAAGGUGGCCCCGUUUUGCAAAAGUCCAAAAUAAGUGAAUUUUUUAUACAAAUUGGCCAAAAUUAAACUAUACUCGUUUAAGACUCAAACUUACUCGACUUGAAAUUAGGCUUCGUUUAAGACUCGAGCUUAUUCGACUUGAAAUUAGGCUUUGGUUGAGCUCGGCUCGAAGUAAUUUCAACCUGAGCUUGAGCCUAAAUUUAAAUUCAAAAUUAAUUUCAAACCGAGCUUGAGCUUAAGUAAGCUCGCUCAAGCUUGGCUCAUUUCCAUCCCUAAGGCGGGGUUGUAUCUUACAUUUUGGUACAAAUUUAUGUUUUCAACAUUUUAUUUUAUUUUAUUUUUUUUGGUUCUCAAUAAGGAAGCGUCUACACAGAUUAGGGAUGUAAUGACGGCACGGCCCACAUUUUCCGGGCCGGAACGGGCCGCGGGCCAGCACGACGGCCGGCCCCAAUAAUCGGGCGGUGCGUGCCGGACAGCCAAGUUUUUGGAACCGCCAGCACGGCCCUUCCGCCCGGACUGCAGGCCGUGGACGGGCCGGCCGAGGCGGCCGGCCGGGCGGCCGAGCUUUCGGACAGCUCUUUUAUAUUUAUUAAUUUAUAUUAAAAAAUUUAAAUUUUUUUUUAAAAAAAAUAUAAAUAUUUAAAAGAAUAUAUAUUCAGUAAGAAAAAAUAAAUUGAAAAAUAUUUAUAAAUAUUAAAAUUUCAAAUAUUAAAAAAUUUAAUUUUGGGGACAAAGAUACCCUCCCAACGAGUCAAAUAUUUUGAGCUGUGGGAAGGGCAUUUUAGUCCAAGCCCAACUCCCAAAGCCACAGCCCAAUCUUUGACUGUUGGGAGUCCCAAAGCCACAUGCCACAGCCCAACUCAUUGGGAGUUGGUGCCUCCCAAAGCAUUGGGAGUUGGUGCAGGGCCUUGGGACCCUGCCUAGGCCCGGCUCGGGAGGGCCCAAGCCUAUGUCGUGCCGGGCCGUGCCGGGCCAUCGGGCAGCGGGAGCAAGGCCCAGCACGGCCCGAUUUAACUGGCCGGGCCGGACCGGGACGGCACGCUACAGUACUCGUGCCGUGCCUGGCCCGGCCCACUCCUGUGCCGGGCUGGGCGGGCCGCGGGCCGCCCGGCCCGUUUGACACCCCUAACACAGAUGCAAUACAAAUGUCCAUUUCUAUAAUUUGGUUGAUAAUAAAUUAAAUACGUCCAUAACUCUAUUUUUUAUUUAUUAUAAUUGAUUUCACUCUAAAUGAUAUCAUUAUAAGAAGAAUAGAAACAUUAAAAAUAAAAAAAAAUAUUAUAUAUUUUUUUUUAUUCUAAGUGAUAAUGUAACUUUUUUUUUAGUAAAAUAAUUAUAAAAAUCAUAAUGAUCGGAGUUUCUAAGUCCUUGACAUAUCAUCAAACAAAUUAGGUUAGAAAAAAAAAAUCAUCUAAAUUUUAGUUUAAUUAACCUAAAAACUACUUAUAGCCUAAUAUCAACCGCUAUUUUCACCUUACGAGCCUAAUAGGAACAUUUCAAAACACAAAGACUAAAGUAAAACUGGAAUUGGUGUCAUUCUUAUGAUUCCGAGGAUUAUUCUUUUCGUUUGCAAUCCGAUUCUACGUAUAGAAACAAAAUUACCAUCAAAUCCAAACUUUGAAACGAGUAAAUAUAUAAUCUUUAACUCUGAAGCCACCUUUUAAUCAAACUCCACUCUGACACUAAAAAUCAGCGAGAAAAGACGAUAAAUGGUAAGCAAAGAUGAUUGCGAAGAACAAAGCUCUCUAAAAAAAGUGCAUUUCAAUCUAAUAAAUACAAUCAACCGUACCUGGAGCAAGUGGCAAAGGACUUGGUGAUUGAUAUCCGAGACCCAAGUUCGAAUUCUGAUUGAUUCAAAUUUCUAACUAAGUUUAUUUCUAAAUGAAAUAAACAAAGCGGGUAGCAUGCUAUCUAUCUCUAAAAAAAAAAAAUCUAAUAAAUACAUCAACGAAACAUACAUAAUUGCAAACGUCUUUUAAUUAAUAUUGUUACUGCAUCGUUUUUUUUUUUUUUUUUUUGAGUUAACACUGUUUAACUUCAAAUUUUACAGUAAUACAAACUUUGAUAAACAAAUUCCAAGCUACAGAGCAAGCUCGUCUAUUCUACACACAUUAUACGUACAAAUCUUUACCCAAAAAUACCUAAUAAAAACUACUAUUCACCAAACACACUCCACCUGCAACAAAACCAAAUUAAUCAUAUCCAAAAAGAGGACCAAAGCAACCAAAAAAAAAAAAAAAAUCUACACUCGUGCCAUCAAGCCGCGUGCAUCAUACACUCGUGCCAUCGCCCGUGUGCGUCGCACGUGCCAUGGUAUCCCACUAUGACACGAUCCCACCCUCUUCGCUUCUACGUUGGAGCGUCGUUGUAGCGUGGAGUGAUGUACGCUUUGUACGACCCCGCAUACUUACUUACUUGUAUAUAU